rnacentral:lncRNA from 1 species
UUUUUUUUUGUUUUUUGGUUUGUAAUUUUUUUAGCACAAGUCUGUAUUAAUUGAUAAGACUCUGAGACAUUUCAUUUUGAUUGUUGUGCCAGACCUACAAAUAUGCCAAUCGGGCUGAAUGUGCAUUCAUCAAUAAUAGUAGUAUAGAUGGACCUUAAGUGGCAUGCAUCGGAAAAGGCCAACAUGAUGUACUAGCUUUGCUAAAAAAAGGAUGCUCUUCUAGCAGAAAAAAGUACAACGGCCUGGCUUAUGUAUGUUAGUUGAUAUUAUUGAUCCAUAUACUCUAUAAGCGUUUAUAUGUCUGUUAAUUUUGUACAUUAUUGGUUGAUUGACUCGGUAUUUGAAUCUUGAUACAUCGCUUGUGUACAUAUCUAAAUGGGAGUACACAUUAUGCUGCGUGUGACACUUGAGUUGGACAUAAAGUGGUUACAAAUAUUCGAAUUCACCUUAAACUGGAUUCUAGCUUCUGAAUUCGAGUAUCGACAUUUGUAAAUCAUAUUCGUAUAUGAUAGUGGAAUACAUCUUUGUCGUGCUUUUGAAGAUAUAUAAAAACACAUAGAAUGAUUUAUACAGAUUCGUAUAGGAAUACAAAAUGGAUUCGAAUUUAGUUGCCAGGGUAAAUGUGGAUGUCUAUUGUCCCAAAAUUAGAAAGAAGCGGCAAAAUGUCCACUCCCACAUCGGCUGCCCGAAGCCAGUGUUUGGGAGAUGGAAAUUACUGCCUACCCCUUACAUGGACAAUCCAUCCGCCCGAUUUCCACUACUCUCAAUAGGGGUAGGUUAGUAACUUCAAUUAGAUGGGACACGACCGCCUCUGAGCCCAUUCUGACAUGGUGGGCGCCAAACAUGGGCGGCAAAACACAUUUGAUUCAAGCUCGUUCGAAAGAGCUCUGUCUCUCCCUCCAUUUCCCCUUUCAUACACGGUGGGCGGCAAAACAAACUCGACUCGGCCGAAAUUGAUGUAGGCAAAUAUUUUCAAUAGGGGCAGGUUUGUAACUUCACUCAGACGUGACACAACCGCCCUACCUGUCAGCCCCGUUCAUACACCGUGGGCACCAACCGUGGGCGCCAAAACACCCUCUCCUCGCCCGAAAUCGCUCUGGGCAAAUAUUAGCGAGAUGCGAGAUUACCGUCCUAUCCCCGACCGACGAGACGUCCAAAUUUUAAACGGGGGCUAAGUUCGUAACUUUCCCAUAUUUCAGACAGGCGUGUCCCAAAAACACGGUUCCCCGUACCUCUCCCUCCAUUUUCCCAUUCAUACACCAUCCGCGCUAGAACACCAUCCCCACACCAGCCUCCUCCGUCAGCCACCCCAUCCAUCGCCGCUGUCCUCUACCAUCCAUCGCCGCCGUCCUCUACCCCAUCCAUCGCCACUGUCCUCCACCAUGCCAGAGCGCCUACCAACACCGCGUCGUCCACUGCUAGAGACGGAUGUUUCUCAUCCACGGCGAUGGACCAGGAGCCUUCCAUCGCGUCUUCUCGCUUCAUCGACGCCGUCGUCCUCUUUGUCGGGGCCGCUCACACGACCUUCUCGUCCACCGCAAUGGGACUUAUCCCCCGAUGCACCCGUCUACCGUCGUAGAUCUGCUUCAAUGCCACCGACAGCCAUCGCACCCCCGAUGCCUACACGGCGCCGCAAGAGAGGUGGUACUUCAUAUCUCCUCAACUUUUUUAUCUCAACCAGAAAAUAGAUCGUAACUUGGUUACUGUACUUUCUUUUCAGCUCUUAGAAUUUAGUUCUUAGUUCAAAGCAAACAAUGGAUGCUAAAUAGCAUUUCUGCAGUUUGCAGCUUUAAAUCUCCCAUGGCACAGUCAUAAUUGGGUUUAAUUGAUCAUGCUUAGGGUUUAAUUGAUCAUGUUGGUUAUGUGAUGGUUUCUUUAAUAGAAAUCGGAGGGGAAACCCUCUUUUGCUCAAAUGUUUUUUGCUUAGGGUUUCCCCUUUCAUGAUCACUAUACGAUCAGCAUACGUGCUUCGUGUCAUAAUAGCACUGCUCCACCCAUCAAGCUAAACAAGCUUAGUUGUUGAAAUACAAAUCUGAUAUUAUUAAAAUAGAGUUGUUUAAUUGGUCAGCUAAAUGUUCCUAAUUUAGUUUUGAAAAUACAUGUUCGCCGCUCGGGUGUGUAUCUCUAUAGGGUGCCCACGGUGGGCCGCGCCCCGCCCUGGGAUUUUGGGUCGGCCCAGGCCCCGAUUCCCCUCUGUUCUGCUGCGCUUCCGAUCUCUACUCGCCCCCAGCAGCCUGACUCGCCGGUGAAUUGCCGUCCCCGGACGGCAUGACUCUAGGAGGAGACGCCGGACUAACAGGAGGUGAGGAGCCGCUCGCCCAACAGCGUCACCGCUGCCCGGGCGCGCCAUCGUGUCUACCUUCCCAGUCUGUUCAGGGCUCAGGUGUGCAGCAGCCACUAAGCCAACCCGAUUUAUCCUGAGAUACGUCCUCAACACUCAGCAGCAACUCCUCAUCACCAAUUUUCUAAUUGAUUCAUUACUCAUUAGGCAGGACUGUCAUUAGGGUUUGUUGUGUACUGAGUGCUACCAACACUUAAUGGUUCAGAUGUAUUUCAGUAAUCUUUAGUACAUGUAAAGUUCACAGGGUUUCAAAAUUCCGGCCCUAGGAGCAGACACUAGUCAUUUUGGAUUGUUGGUCGUAGUGACAUUGAACCAGAUUACUACUACAGGCCAGGUUUGUUGAAAAUUUUACUUGUCUUUCUUACUCAUUCCAUAUGAUAUCCAAUUAUUCACGUCGAUUAGUUGCAAACAAUAAGUGCUAGACCAACUUCUUGAUUCAGAUUUUGGACGGUCUCUUACUGGAGUUACAAUUAUGCAUACUUGUCCUAGUAAGAUCAGAAGUAAUGAUUGAUUCACUACAUCUAUGCUUGCCUUGUCAUAUUUGUUAUCAAUAUUCUUUUAGGGUGGACCACCCUGUUUCAAAAUACAGGAACCGCAGACAUGAGUGAAUAGUAUUUCUCUGUGUGAUCUCUUCCAUCAUGUGUGGGCAACGAACACUGCAUUGUAUAGAAAGAAAGUGUCAUUUCCACCUUUUACAUAGACUACGAUCUUUUACAUGGAAUACAAUAUGCCUACUUGCUUUGUGCCGCACUACCAACACUCCACCCUUGAAGCUAAACAUUAUGUCACUCAUAAUUCCUUAGUUUAUUUGUUCAAAUACGAAUUUGAUAUGAUUCUAAUGUUCCUACUUCAGUUUUGAAAUGUGUGUGUGUCUGUUAUAGAGACAUAAGAGGUUUGUAUUUCUGUGUGUGGUCUGGUCAGCACGGUUGGAGGUGAACUUUGCAUAUGCAGGGGUUUAUAGGGAGAUACUCUUCGAGUUGAAUCUGCAAUGCAUUCCAAAGAUAAUCUGACUACUUUCUAUGUUUUCAUGAAUCUCAUAUACUGAACAGCAACAUAAUGAUUAUGAGCUUGCGCGCAUGAAAAGAAUAAAGCAGAGCAAUGCCAUGGCUGUCAAACUUGACAUUAAGGGACUGAAAUCAAGUCUGGAUGCAAUGCAAUGCAAACGCUCUCCACCUACAGAUUCAUGCUCAGAAUAUAUGAUCCUGAUAGUGAUUCUGAGCUAGUGGGAGACCUAAGUCAAUGUAGCUUCCUAGUGGAGGAGUCAGAGGCAGAUGCCCUAUCUUAUUCACCCAUCAAGGUGCUUGCUCUAACUUUCCAAGGUUAUAUUGGUCGCACAUAUCUUGCAACUGAUGCUUUGCAUUACUUCUACUUUGUUGCACUGCCAUUAGCUUAGUUUACACAUCAUGUAUGUGAAUACGCCCUGCUUAUCAAUUUUUAGUACAUAUUCCAUCUGUCAUCAUACCAUAUUUAUCCGUUCAAAUGUUGUUCUUGUGUAUCAGACGUUCAAAAGGAAGAAGGUGAUUGCUGAUCGCGGAGGAGCAUGAGCAAAGUAUUUGGAAAAGGUAGUGACACCUGAUAAAUCAAAUAGCCCAUUAGGUGUAGUUAAAAUAUCACCUGACCCACAAAACACGGCCCCAACUCUAGCAGACUCUAGCCCUACUACACUGGUCAUCUCUAAUGCCCCAACUAAGGAGACCCCAACUGCAGCAAAUAGUAUGAUGAUGCCAGUUGACAUAGCACCAGCUCUACGACGCAAAACCCCCAUUCCAGCAAAGAUUACACCAAAUCCAGUUGCCCCUUUUCGAACCGGAGAGAGCCCCAAUUGCAGCAAAUAGGACCCCUGUUCCAUUUCUUCCCAGUUUAGAAGACGAAGCUUAUAUUGUUGUCAGGAACUUUGUGUGCAUCUUUUCUUCAUGAAAAGAUUAUACCGCGGACACAGAACAAUUUCCAGUCUUCCUCCACAACUUACGCGUAAGUAAUGUACUAAUGUUAUGCAUGGUAAUUACUGCAUAUGUUUCUGCUGACAGAAGACACAAGAUUUCAUUCUUUUAAAUAGGCGAGGACCAAACUAGAUUGUCAAGACGGGCAAGGGUUGGUUGUGCUUUUCAAGCACUCAUUGAUGAAGUAUCGUUCCUACCAGAGGCAAGCGCACUUCGAUGGCAAGCCUCUAAACGAAAUUUCUGUAAAGUCUCCGGUGCUACAUUUACCACACAGUGACUGGAAUAAUCUUUUCGCACAUUGGUCUCGUCUGCAGCAUAAGGUACUAUAUGAUAUCACAUCACAAUUUGAACUACAUUUCUGCAUGUGCCUUAACGUCUCACUUGUACGAAAAUUGUUUGCAGAAGAACAUUCAUUCUCAAGGGACCACAAAAUCUCGCAACUAUAAUGCACACUGCAUUGCUCUUGUGAGUACCUCUUGCCCUGUAUGACCAUACAUACUUUCAUAGCUGGUUGAUUAUGUAGCAUCACUGCACAUGUUAGCCUCGUUAUCGUCCAUUUGGUGGACAUUAUAAGAUCCGUAUGGACUCUUACAUAAAUUUAGAAUCAACCCAAUGCUUUUGAAGAGGUUUAGCUCUACAGUCCUCUUGUAAGGACUGAACGUCGUCUAUCACUGUACUUACAUUAAUAGCUACUCCCUCCGUCCCAUAAUAUAAGAACAUUUUGUACAGUACACCAGUGUUCAAAACACUCUUAUAUUAUGGGAAGAGGGAUUGGUUCAUUGUGUAGCAUUCUACAUCUUAUCUCCCUCGCCCACCAUUUACUAAAAAAUAUCAGAUCUAUAUUUAAUCUUACCAAAAAGUUGAAUACAUGGACAAUGCCAGUGCAGAAGUGUAGCCCAUUGCUCUUGUUAGUACAUUUUGUCCUGUAACGCUUGUACUUCCAGGGAUUGGUAGUUGAUUAUGUAGCAUCAAUCUGCAUCUUAUCUUCAUUAUCCUCUAUCCCUUCCAGUAUUAUCAUAUCUAUAAAUACUCUCUACAAAAUGUCGAGUACAGGCAAUGCUUCUGAAGAAGAUUAUGUGCUGAAUUGUUGAGUUAUCCUUCCCUUGACAUGGAGAAGGGCAUUAUAAAGCCGGUGUUAACUGUUAAUGUCAGUCAGUCCUUCUAAAGCCUUUAUCCUCAACUGUUGUUUAAUUUGAUCAUACUCCCUAUCGUUAACUGCUGUUUAGUUUGUUGUUUCUAUCAAAAUGCAUGUUCGCAACAACUAUAACUUCCAAGUUUUACUUGUAAAACCAAAUUCCUUAUUCAUACCAUGCACAUUACUCAAUACUCCCGAUAUGUAUGCUUGUUUUUGUGGAUCUAUAAUCUUGUGUGUGGUGAAGCAGCCCAUGUUUGCACCUUGUCAUCUCAUGUUUUAUCUUACUGAUGUGGCUGAUGAUAUGAACAAUAUGCCAUGCACAUUAAUCAAAAUAGAUACAAUGAUUGUCUUUGCCCUUCAUCUAUGCUUGUUAUGUUGACAUGGUAAUCCAGUAGUGUGGUGAUGUCAAGUUUUAAUCUCUUUGUUGAUCUCAAGCAAGCAAUUGUUUUCGUUAGUGGCACAAUUUCACCUCAAGUUUUGAGAUAUCUCCAUAAGCCCACGAAGAUCAUAUCCUUUCUUUGUUGAUUUUUCAACAACUCCGUUCUUUUCAUUGCAUUCUUUCAUUUCUACCGGAGGCGUUGUGAUAUCGCUCUCUUCGACCCAUCUUCUCGUUUUGUCAAGAUCAUCUUCUUUCCUUGCUUAUCCAUGUAACCGGAGUGUGGUGUCAUCUCUUCAAUUUCUUUUCAUCUUAUCAAGUUUCCUUCUCUUUUUCAACCGGAGUGCUGUCAAAAUUAUGUCAUUCUUGUUCCUUGACUAUCUCGUUAUAUCGGUGUGGUUUCAUAUUCUUUUGGUUCGUUAAGCCCUUGUUUCAUGUCAUUCAACCCACAAGGUUCUCAUAAUGUUCCUUGUUCUCCUUUUCUAACGGAGUGUUUGUAAUCUCGUUCAUCUUCGUUGUAUUCUUUUCUGAAAAUUGUUAACCUCUCAAGGUUCUUUGGUUUCACUCGUUUGUCAAAGAAGCAACUUUGUUUUACCUUUUCCUCUUCCGUUUCUCUCCGGUGCCAUCCUAGAUCUCGGGACGAGAUCCUCUCGUAGUAGUGGAGUGUUGUAACACCCCAGAUGUCACUUUCCAUAUUUGUAACUCCGACUCUUGCCAUUUUCGGCUAUGUGUUAUGAUUUUCCCUCCGUGGUUGGGUUUCGUUUUCGUUUUUGCAUUUUGUUCAUGUCAUGCAUCUCAUAUCAUGUCAUCAUGUGCAUCUCAUUUGCAUACGUGUUCGUCUCAUGCAUCCGAGCAUUUUCCCCGUUGUCUGUUUUGCAAUCCGACACUCCCACCUCCUUCGGCGCACCCCUCUUGUUUUCCUUUCGUGAGCGGGUGUUAAACGUUCUCGGAAUGGGCCGAGGCUUGCCAAGUGGCCUUGGUAUACCACCGGUAGACCACCUGUCAAGUUUCGUUCCAUUUGGAGGUCGUUUUAUGCUCCAAUGGUUAACCGGGUAACCGCAAAGUCCUUUUGUGUGUUGCAGCAAAAAAACCCCUCCAAGCAGCCCAAAACCCCUCUAAGUCUCCUCCAUGCUCUAGGUCGUUCGAUCACGAUCGUGUGGGCGAAAACCGCACUCCAUUUGGAGCCUCCUAGCUCCCUCCACCUAUAAAUGUGUGUCUCUCCCGGAUUUUCCACGCAGAUGAAACCCUAGCCCGCUCCCCUCGCGCCGCCGGACACGUCCGGCCCGAGCCGGNNNNNNNNNNNNNNNNNNNNNNNNNNNNNNNNNNNNNNNNNNNNNNNNNNNNNNNNNNNNNNNNNNNNNNNNNNNNNNNNNNNNNNNNNNNNNNNNNNNNNNNNNNNNNNNNNNNNNNNNNNNNNNNNNNNNNNNNNNNNNNNNNNNNNNNNNNNNNNNNNNNNNNNNNNNNNNNNNNNNNNNNNNNNNNNNNNNNNNNNNNNNNNNNNNNNNNNNNNNNNNNNNNNNNNNNNNNNNNNNNNNNNNNNNNNNNNNNNNNNNNNNNNNNNNNNNNNNNNNNNNNNNNNNNNNNNNNNNNNNNNNNNNNNNNNNNNNNNNNNNNNNNNNNNNNNNNNNNNNNNNNNNNNNNNNNNNNNNNNNNNNNNNNNNNNNNNNNNNNNNNNNNNNNNNNNNNNNNNNNNNNNNNNNNNNNNNNNNNNNNNNNNNNNNNNNNNNNNNNNNNNNNNNNNNNNNNNNNNNNNNNNNNNNNNNNNNNNNNNNNNNNNNNNNNNNNNNNNNNNNNNNNNNNNNNNNNNNNNNNCCGCCCUCGGUGCCCGCGCCGGCCGCCGCCGUCCUCCUCCGGCCCCGCGCGCCCCGAGCUCCGGCGAGCUCGAGCCGGCGAGCCUCGGCCCGAUCCGAUCUGGAUCCGCUGCUAGGGUUGACUCCCCCCAAUUUUUCUCCGUCCCGUAUGUUUUACAAUAUGUGCUCCUGUUCAUUGCAUCAUAACUCUCUGCAUAUAGCUCCGUUUCGUGCGUGUAAUAUAUCAAAAUGUUCGUCUCAAGAUGCUCUUCAUUUUGUUCCAUUAUGCGAUGUUCAUUUGAGUCCAUCUUGAUGCCCAAAUCUCUGGUGCAAGAGUGCUAGUUGCUGUUAACUGCUGUUACUUAUCGGAACAUGAGGAUUUGUUAUUUUUGUUGCAUUUGAUGUCUGCAUCUUAUGGGCAUGAGCCCUACAUGUGUUUUGAUGUAUGUCAUGCCAUCUUUAUAGAGAUUUAUUCCAUGUAUUUUUAUGAUCUAUGUGGUGACUAGCACAAGCAUGCAAAAUAGGCUUCGUGAUGUUUCUGAUUUCAGGGACUUGAUAAUUUUACCAAGUCUGUGACUGCUGUUAUUUUGUUGCUAUGUAUCCAUGUGCCUACAGAGAGAUCCAUGCUCCUUUUGGUGAUGUUCAGUAAGGAUGUUUUGUAGAUAUAGUUGUUUUAUAUGCAUCCAUGCCCUUGUUUGCAAUUAUGGAGCGCCACAGCAUGUCUUAAUCUUUCUAUACUUUUGCUAUAAAAUAUUUCUGGAAGAUUGUUUACGUGUUAUUCAAUUUUGCCAAGGUUGUUGUAGUUGUUUCAUACACGUUUUAAACUUGCUCUUGCCUUGGAUAGCUUCAUAAACAUGUCAUCUUGCUGUAGGUAUGCUUUUUUUGUAAUUUAUUGCUUUGUGGUGAGUGCAUCAAGCUCACCAACAUGCCUUCGUAAUACUGUUUCUGCCAUGCUGUGUUUUCUGCGAAGUCUGAAACCUGUUAACGAAACUUGCUAUGUUUACAUGGGUGCCAUCAUAUCUUCUGGUCCUUUUUGGCUUAUGGUCAGUAAGGGACUUUUGUUCUAUGCAUUUAGUAGAUUCAUGCCAUGCCUUGUUUUGCUAUGCUAAGUUACUGUAGCAUGUUGAUUUCAUGCUCUGAACAUUGCUACCUGAUGCUGUUUCAGCCAUGUCCAGUAAUUUCAUUGUCUGUGAACCUGAUAUCUUUUGCACUUUUGCCAUGCUUGAUUGAACAUGCUGUGGUGUGAUCUAGCCAUAGCUCAGUGUUCAUCUUUUGUCAAGCAUCUCCUGUAGAUUACUGUCACAUGUUUUGUUGCUAUGUUGGAGUGCUGUAGCAUAGUUACUUGUUGCAUUUUAAGUGCUAUCAUGCUGUUAAUCGCAGAUUUGUGUCAUUCUUGUUUUGCUUGCCAUUUGCAAACCGUGCAUCCGUUUCCGGUGAUCUUUAUAUCGAUUUUGACCAAAAUCAUCUCAUCUUUCCAGUGGCAUACUUGGUUUGCCAAGUUACUGCCUUGUUCAUCAUUUUUCUUCCGCAGCACGCAUACGCAUCGCAUACCACAUCUCGCAUAUCAUACAUGUUUUGCAUCAUGUUGCUUGUGCAUUCACGUGAUUGAUUGUGGUUCCAUUGCUUGUGUUCUUGCUGUGGGUAGAGCCGGGAGACGAGUUCGUGAACGAGGAACCUGUUGAGUACGCUUACGAGGAUCAAGCUUUCGACAACUCUGAGAACCUUGCAGGCAAGAUCACCAUACCGCGAAAUCACUUCUAUCUUUGCUUUGCUAGUUAUUCGUUCUAUUGCUAUGCUGCGCUACCUACCACUUGCUAUAUCAUGCCUCCCAUAUUGCCAUGUCAAUCCUCUAACCAUCCUUUCCUAGCAAACCGUUGUUUGGCUAAGUUACCGCUUUUGCUCAGCCCUUCUUAUAGCGUUGUUAGUUGCAGGUGAAGUUGAAGUUGGUUCCAUGUCGGAACAUGGAUAUUUUGGGAUAUCACAAUAUCUCUUAUUUAAUUAAUGCAUCUAUAUAUUUGUUAAAGGAUGGAAGGCUCGGCCUUAUGCCUGGUGUUUUGUUCCACUCUUGCCGCCCUAGUUUCCGUCAUACCGGUAUUAUGUUCCUUGAUUUUGCGUUCCUUACGCGGUUGGGUGAUUUAUGGGACCCCCUUGACAGUUCGCCUUGAAUAAAACUCCUCCAGCAAAGCCCAACCUUGGUUUUACCAUUUGCCACCUAAGCCUUUUCCCUUGGGUUUUCGCGAGCCCGAGGGUCAUCUUUAUUUAAACCCCCAGACCAGUGCUCCUUCGAGUGCUGGCCCAAACUGGGCGAUGUCCGGCGCCCCCUGGGCAACCAGGGUCUAUGCCAACCCGACGUCUUGCCCAUCCGGUGUGCCCUGAAAAUGAGAUAUGUGCAGCUCCUAUCGGGAUUUGUCGGCACAUUCGGGUGGCUUUGCUGGUCUUGUUUUACCAUUCUCGAAAUGUCUUGUAAACCGGGAUUCCGAGACUGAUCGGGUCGUUCCGGGAGAAGGUUUAUCCUUCAUUGACCGUGAGAGCUUAUAAUGGGCUAAGUUGGGACACCCCUGCAGGGUAUUAUCUUUCGAAAGCCGUGUCCACGGUUAAGAGGCAGAUGGGAAUUUGUUAAUGUCUGGUUGUAGAGAACUUGUCACUUGACCCAAGUAAAAUACAUCAACUGCGUGUGUAGCCGUGAUGGUCUCUUCUCGGCGGAGUCCGGGAAGUGAACACGGUUUGAGUUAUGCAUGAACGUAAGUAGUUUCAGGAUCACUUCUUGAUCAUUUCUAGCUUCGCGACCGUUGCGUUGCUUCUCUUCUCGCUCUCACUUGCGUAUGUUAGCCACCAUAUAUGCUUAGUGCCUGCUGCAGCUCCACCUUAUUACACCAUCCUUUCCUAUAAGCUUAAAUAGUCUUGAUCUCGCGGGUGUGAGAUUGCUGAGUCCUCGUGACUCACAGAUUCUACCAAACAGUUUCAGGUGCCGACGAUGCCAGUGCAGAUGACGAAACCGAGCUCAAGUGGGAGUUCGACGAGGAACGUGGUCGUUACUAUGUUUCUUUUCCUGAUGAUCAGUAGUGGAGCCCAGUUGGGACGAUCGGGGAUCUAGCAUUUGGGGUUAUCUUAUUUUCUUUUGGAUUUGACCGUAGUCGGCCUAUGUGUGGAUUUUUGGAUGAUGUAUGAAUUAUAUUUAUGUAUUGUGUGAAGUGGCGAUUGUAAGCCAACUCUCGUUAUCCCAUUCUUGUUCAUUACAUGGGAUUGUGUGAAGAUAACCCUUCUUGCGACAAUACCACAAUGCGGUUAUGCCUCUAAGUCGUGCCUCGACACGUGGGAGAUAUAGCCGCAUCGUGGGCGUUAUAGUUGAACUGUUGCCACCUUUAUCACGGGCCGUUAGAGGGGCGGAUGUCGCGUCGGACCAUAUAUGGCCCAUGGGCAGCACGAGCCAAUCCCAGGCCAAAAGACGCACCGGGCUGAAAUGGGCCCAUGUCUACAUCGGGCCUCUAACAGGCUGAAAUGUCACUGGGUCGUAAUUCUUCAAUCUAUGUUUGAGUGCUCUUGCGAAAGAAAAUAAUUUCGAAUGCAAAAAUGACUUCAAAAAUAUGAUAGGAUCGCGGAUUCCAUAUAUUUUUAUAGAAAGAAAGAUACUGUACUCUGCCCCCCCCCCGACUGUCACUCUAUGGCAAAGCUAAAGCUUUCCUGGCACUUGGUGAAUAAUAUUUCUAGAGGGACAAAUAAAAGCCCGGUUUUGACCUUUUGGCCCAAAUAUUCGGCGAACAAUUAACGGGCCAGAUCUGGCUUCGAGCCGGAAAUGGGCCAUGUUUAAACAGGCCGUUAUUGGGCUGGCCCACUAGUACCUGAGUAAAUAAUACAGGCCUUUGACUGGGCCAGCCUUUUUAACCUAUAUGGGCCUCUGUUGGGCCCUGCCACGUGUCGACAAAUCAUAGGCGCCUUCGGUCCAAUGGGUGGAUGACAUCUGUCCCAACGGUGAGCCGACACGUGGUUCCUCUUGCCAUUGCGAAUUUUACAUGUGGAAAAUCUCCAUUGGUCCGGGCUGUUAACGGGUUAUCGGAUCCAAACCGGAACCCGAUAGCUUAACGGCGACCCGUUACGGUGGAUGCCACGUGUCAGUCACCCUUGACGAAAGCACUUCUGUGACGCGCGAUUUAUCGUCAUGGAAGUGGACACUUCCGUGAUGAUAAUUUUGGUAAUGUCAUGGAACACUUCUAUGACAACACAAGUAUGCCUAUCUUGAUUCUGUCAUAAAAUCGUCAUGGAUGUACAUGCAUGACAGAAAACAUGACCUACUGUGACAAACAUGUAUCAUCUCAGAAGUGUAUUUUUUGUAGUGAUGCUUGUUAGCGAGAAUUUGCGCACGCAGAACAUAAAUAAUUAACCCGCAUAAAGGUUGAAACCAUUGCAUUCGAGUUUCUACCUUGGGACAUUCCCAUUGUCUUCCUUUUUCUGUAGUUUGUGUUGCUCUGUCAAGAUUCAAAUGGACUAGCAGGAGCAACACUCCUGGUUGUUAUGGGACUUUCAAUUUCCUCGCUUGGCUUACAUAGGUGUUUAAUAGCAGAUCGAGAAUGGAAUCAUACUACUGAACCAACAAUUGAAAUGUAAUAAGUAAUAAAAAAUAAUAUUAUUAUUCAGAUCAUACUCUAUAGGGGAAAGUAUAUUUUCCAUUCCUCAACUCUUUCGAAAGUAUAGAAAUCGUCCCUCAACUUCAAAACAAGCAAAACUUAGUCCAUCAACUUUUAAAACCAGAUAAGUUUAGUCCCUCGGAUAGUUUUGUGUGGACAUGGAGUGGUUUUUGAUUCAGAAACGUGCAGGAAAGGUGCUCGGCAUAAUGCCCAUCAAGCAGCAGUGCACAUGGGAGGUGAAAAAUGCAAGCAGUUGCGGCAGCGCAUGCCGACGGCGCCUGGCAAUGUGUGCAAUGAGCGAAUAUGGCGGCGGCACGGCUCAGUGCGCAUCAGCUCGGUGUCUCCACGAUGAGGCUGCCCAACAACAACCUGUGCAGGAUGCCUUUCUGGCGUUUCCUGCCUACGUGGUAGCUGCUGGAGUGCUGGAGGUAGGAUGCUCUUGUUCUCUUGUUGCUGCCACCGCUGGUGCUUGUGCACGAGCGCUCCGACUCUGACUGUUCAUGCAGGCCCUAAAAAACAAGCUUUGCACCUACAUUUCUUCAGUCCAUGUUGAGCUUGGACUUGACAUGGCUAUAACUAGGAUGGAAGGAGGGGCACCAACCGUGACGUUUUACAGGGGACGGGGAUCGCGAGCUCCUGCAAGGCACCGGUGCACAUUCGUGUUUGGUAGUGGAUGGUGGGCGCGUGAUUGCUCCCUGACUAUAGCGCCAGAAAGGUCCUAUCUGCUAGGACUACGUCGGUAUUUCCCCAAAGAAGAAGGGAUGAUGUAGCACAGCGAAGGUAGGUAUUUCCCUCAGUGAUGAAACCAAGGUUAUCGAACCAGUAAGAGAACCAAACAACACAGCGUAAACAACACUUGCACACAAAUAACAACACCUCGCAAUCCGACGUAUUAAAGGGGUUGUCAAUCCCUUUCCGGUAACGAUGCCAGAAAUUUGUAAUAGAUUGAAAUAAUAGAUCGCAAAUAAAAUAAAAUGCAGCAAAGUAUUUUUGUAUUUUUGGUUUAAUAGAUCUGAAUAAAAAUGCAAAGGAAAAGUAGAUCGCAAGCAAAUAUAUGAGAAAGAAGACCCGGGGGCCGUAGGUUUCACUAGUGGCUUCUCUCGAGAAAAAUAGCAAACGGUGGGUAAACAAAUUACUGUUGGGAAAUUGAUAGAACUUCAAAUAAUUAUGACGAUAUCCAGGCAAUGAUCAUUACAUAGGCAUCACGUCCAAGAUUAGUAGACCGACUCCUGCCUGCAUCUACUACUAUUACUCCACACAUCGACCGAUAUCUAGCAUACAUCUAGUGUAUUAAGUUCAUGGAAAAUGGAGUAAUGCAAUAAGAAUGAUGACAUGAUGUAGACAAGAUCCAUUUAUCUUUUGCGUAGAUAUAGAUCCCAUCUUUUUAUCCUUUGUAGCAACGAUACAUACGUGUCGUUUCCCUUUCUGUCACUGGGAUCAAGCACCGUAAGAUCGAACCCACUACCGGGCACCUCUUCCCAUUGCAAGAUAAAUAGAUCAAGUUGGAAAAAAAACUCAAAUAUCAGAGAAGAAAUAUGAGGCUAUAAGAGAUCAUGCAUAUAAGAGAUCAAAGAAACUCAAAUAACUUUCAUGGAUAUAAAAAUAUAUAACUGAUCAUAAACUCGAAGUUCAUCCGAUCCCAACAAACACACCGCAAAAAGAGUUACAUCAUAUGGAUCUCCAAGAGACCAUUGUAUUGAGAAUUUAGCGAGAGAGGGUAAGCCAUCUAGCUACUAACUACGGACCCGAAGGUCUACAAAGAACUACUCACGCAUCAUCGGAGAGGCACCAAUGGAGGUGGUGAACCCCAUCCGAGAUGGUGUCUAGAUUGGAUCUGGUGGUUCUGGACUCUGCGGCGGCUGGAUGAAUAUUUUGUCGACGUACUUAGGGUUUCUAGAUUUUUGGGGUAUUUAUAGAGCAAAGAGGCGAUCCGGGGGGCACCCGAGGUGGGCACAACCCACCAGGGCGCGCCUGGGCCUCCUGGCGCGCCCUGGUGGGUUGUCCCCUCCUCAGGACUCCCCCCAGGUGCAACUAGGGCCCAACUUCUUCCUUUUGGUCCAUAAAAAUCAUCAUAAAGUUUCGUGGCAUUUGGACUCCGCCUGAUAUUGAUUUCCUGCGAUGUAAAAACAUGCAGAAAACAACAAUUGGCACUUGGCACUAUGUCAAUAGGUUAGUACCAAAAAAUGAUAUAAAAUGAUUAUAAAACAUCCAAGAUUGAUAAUAAAACAGCAUGGAACAAUAAAAAAUUAUAGAUACGUUGGAGACGUAUCAGCGCACGAUCUUGUCGUAGCUCAAACUCGCUGCACGUCCGCGUCCCAAGUUCCAGGGUGCCUCAUCAUGGUCCGGUCCUCGGCAUCGAACGCGGCGGAGCCGCUUGCUUCUGCUCCUCAGCGCUCGUCGACACUGGCCAAUUGCCGAUGUGGCCGGGCAGCAGCAGGAUCUCGGCAUGUAAAAUUAGUUAAAGCAUAUGCUAACAGGCAGUGAUGCAUACGUGCUUAUAAGACAUUUGGUUGAGAUACGGUCGGUUAGCUACUUGAUCUGUACAAUAUACACAGCCUGUACAAUUUUCUAUACAAUGUAAUUCUAACUCAACCGACCCAUGAGAUCAAGGUACAACACACGCACGCACAAAUGUCAAAAACCACUCCACGUCUGGACGAAACCACCCUAAGCGGUAUGAGGGGCUAAACUUAUCCGGUUUUGAAAGUUAAGGGACUAAGAUUUACUGGUUUUGGAGUUGAGGGAUCAUUUGUAUACUUUCGAGAUAGUUGAAGGACGGAAAAUAUACUUUUCCCUACUCUACAUGAUUGCUUCCCAUGGCAAUACGAGGAUCCCUGAUUGAAGUAUAUUUGAUCUCAGAUUGACGAGGAAAGAAUUCCCUAAUGAUCUUCAAAAGGUCCAGCAUAUAUUCCCGGAUAUCUUUAGAAACCUGAAGUUCGUCCCCAAUGUUAUCAACUUCUUGAUCCAGCAACUUAGAUGCUUGGAUUGCCUCCCUUUGCAUACCCUUUCAAAACAUUAUUUUACAGUUGGUUGAUUGAAGCAUGAACACUGGAUAUUAGGUAAAACCACACGUUUUUGACAGAGGCAUGAACAUACCAGCAUGGCAGCAGAGACCUGCUCAGAGUAAGGCCCUUUGUAGGUGGUGAGAAUGUGGACCGCAACCUGCUGGACCUCAGUGCAAAAUUCAAAAUACAUUUGCCAGAGUCUACCCAGAAACUCAUCAGCAUUGAUUUUUUUGGAAAUGGAGGCAUACCCCCGGCCUCUGCAUCAUAAUGAUGCACGCAGCCAUCUUAUUAAAUAAUCCACGAAGUAGCACAAAGUCAUAAAAGUAUUACAGCUCGCAAGUGGAGCGAAGCAAAUGAAGAAGAAAAGUACAUGCUGACAAUCACAACCGGAACGGCAAUAUGAAGGAUAAGCUUCCUAAACUCCUAUCCUGUUAUGCGACCGCCAUUCGAACCGGUUGAAUAUAGCCUGUGCUACCAUCUCCCACUGGUUGCACCCAGUAACUGGAGGCUCCCUGGAUUCCAAAGGAGUGAGUAAGGACCACGUACGGAUCCAUGCGGUAGCUCUGAAGAUGACCUGCAAGAAAGUUAAAGUGUGUUGUCUGUUAAAAAUCAAAUCAUUUCUACAGUUCCAUAUAGCCCAUAGAAGCGCACAUAUUCCAAUCCGAAUACGAGCUGCAGUAGUAUGUUCAACCCAAGUUAACCAUGUUCCAAAUAACGACUCAAUGUCAACUGGAGGAUUAAUGUUGAAGGCUAUAUUAAUUGUUCUCCAAAGCAAUUUGGCGAGUGGGCAUUCAAGGAAUAAAUGUUGUAUUGUUUCAUCAUGAUCACAAAAACAACAACAUGAACUAUCUACCCAUCGCCUCUUGAUUAAGUUGUCCUUGGUGAGUAUUACUUGCUUGUGGACAAACCACAUGAAAAUUUUAAUAUGCAAGGGAACCUUAAUCUUCCAAAUAUGCAACGACUUCAAGAUCGGGCCAGAAUUAAUCAAAUCCAUAAAGAAUGAUUUCAUCGUAAAUACCCCAUUUUUAGCUAAUUUCCAUUGCAUCGAAUCCGGCUGGUCAGAGAGUUGAACAUCUAUCAAUCUCCGAACCAAGUACAUCCAUGUCGUCCAUCGCUUACCAACUAACGCGUGUCUGAACUGAAUAUUCAGGGGAAUCGUUUGGAAAAUUGUGCCUACGUAAUCCUCCUUACGUUGCACAAUGUUAUAAAGGGUGGGAUAUUGUAUGGCCAAAGGUGUCUCUCCUAACCACGUAUCCUACCAAAAUCUUGUUGACAUCCCAUUGCCAACCAAGAAUUUGACCCUACGAAAGAACAGUUCUUUUGUUCUCAUAAGCCCUUUCCAGAAUGGUGAGUCAGAUGGUCUCAUGGUAACCUGGGCAAGCGUUUUCGUCUGUAAAUACUUAUUACGCAAAAUCUGUGCCCAUAUGCCCUUCGGCUCCGUCUCUAACCUGUAAAGCCAUUUGCUCAUAAGGCAUUUAUUCUUGAUUUCUAAAUUCUCAAUACCGAGACCCCCCUGGUCUUUUGGUCGGCAAAAAAAUAUCCCAUCGUGCGAGACGGUAUUUCCUCUUGGCCUCAUUUGACUGCCAGAAGAACCGGGAUCUGAAGAAAUCAAGUCUCUUCCGUACCCCUUUCAGAAUUUCGAAGAACGAUAGUAGGAACAUCGGCAUACUAGUCAGUACCGAGUUAAUCAGCACUAGCCGACCUCCAUAAGACAUAAGCUUGCCCUUCCAGCAGCUAAGCUUCUUUUCAAUUCGGUCUUCGAUACACUUCCAUUCUUUAUUAGAUAACUUACAGUGGUGAAUCAGUAUAUCCAAAUAACUAAAUGGUAAAGAACCUAAUUCACACCCGAACAAUUGUCUAUAAGUUUCUUGCUCGUCUUUGGCCUUCCCAAAGCAGAACAACUCACUCUUGUGAAAGUUUAUCUUUAAACCAGACAAUUGUUCGAAGAGACAUAAUAUAAGUUUCAUAUUAUGCGCCUUAGCAAUGUCAUGUUCCAUGAAUAAGAUAGUGUCGUCAGCGUACUAUAAGAUGGAUACUCCUCCAUCGACCAGAUGAGGAACUAACCCCUCCACUUGACCAUGCUGCUUGGCCCUACCAAUAAGGAUGGCCAACAUAUCGAACACUAUAUUAAACAAGAGAGGAGACAUGGAAUCUCCUUGUCUCAAACCCUUGUGUGUCUGAAAGUAAUGGCCGAUAUCAUCGUUAACCUUGAUUCCGACACUACCCUUCUGGACUUGAGAACCCACUUGGUUCCGCCAGGCUUCACUAAAUCCUUUCAUACGCAUUGCCUGCUGAAGGAAAGGCCACUUAACUUUAUCAUAUGCCUUCUCAAAAUCCACUUUGAAGAUAACCCCAUCUAGCUUUUCGAAUGAAUUUCAUGUAACGUUUCAUGCAGAAGGACCACCCCUUUCAGUAUGUGUCGGCCUGGCAUGAACGUUGUCUGGCUCGGUUGUACCACUGAAUGAGCAAUCUAUGUCAAUCUAUUGGUACCCACCUUGGUGAAAAUUUUGAAACUCACGUUAAGAAGACAUAUGGUCCUAAAUUGUUCGGUGCGAACUGCCUCUUCUUUCUUUCGCAACAACGUAAUUAUGCCAAAGUUAAGAUGAAACAGCUUCAAAUGACCGUUAAAGAAAUCAUGAAACAUAGGCAUAAGAUCAUCCUUAAUAAUAUGCCAACAUUUCUUAUAGAAUUCAGUUGGAAACCCAUCUGGUCCUGGUGCUUUAUUCGGUUUCAUUUGUGAGAUUGCAUCUAGAACCUCCUUCUCAGUAAACGGUGCAGCUAGAAUAUCAUUCUCCUCUGCCUGGAGUUGAGGUAUAUCUCUAAUAACAGAUUCAUCUAGAGCCACCGUGCUUGCUUCCGGAGGCCCAAAGAGUUGUUUAUAGUAAUUAGAGAUAUAAGCUUUCAGAUUCUCAUGCCCCAAAAUUGUCCCCUCGUCCUGUUCAAGCUGAAUGAUUUUCUUCUUCCUAUGUUUGCCAUUCGCAAUCAUAUGGAAAAAUUGUGUAUUGUCAUCCCCUUGGACAACCUUAAUCACUUUAGCAUGCAAUGCCCACUUGAGCUCCUCUUCUCUAAGAAGAGCUCGUAAGCCUUGCUCGGCUUCGGACUUGGAGCUUUGCUCAUUAACCGUAAGAAGGUUACUUUCAGCUUUUUAAAUCUAGUCAAUCAAUUGAGUGAGUCGCUCUUUUUCUUGUUUGUAAAUCCCACUCUCGUUUCUAGCCCAACCUCGCAAAAACUGUCUCAGGUGUCUGAUUUUAUUUUGCCAUUUCUCAAUACUAGUUCUUCCACUAACAGGUUUUGCCCAUUCGCGUGCAAUGAUCUCCAAAAAGUUUUCUUUCUCGAACCUACCUAGUUCGAAGGAGAAAGAAUUCUUGUUCGCAACGUGCGUAGCCUCUCCCGAGUCUACAAGAAGUGGUGUGUGGUCUGAGAUCGCUCUCUGCAUCGCAUGAACCGACACCAAUGGGUACUUUUGUUCCCAUUCCACACUAGUAAGUACCCUAUCCAACUUCUCAUACGUCGGAGUGGGCAGCGAAUUGGCCCGUGUAAAUUGUCUACCGGUGAGCUCAAUUUCUCUCAAAUUAAGACUCUUGAUAACCAUGUUAAACAUCAUAGACCAACGUCCAUCAAAAUUGUCAUUGUUCUUUUCAUCUCUCCUCUGAAUUAUAUUAAAAUCCCCACCGACUAGGAUUGGCAGAGUUUCAUCUCCACAGAUUCUCACCAAUUCGGCUAAAAAAUCAGGUUUGAGUUCCGGUUGUGUUGCCCCAUACACAGCCACGAGAGACCAUCAGAAACCAUCCAAUUUUGAUCUCACCCGAAACUUGACCGCAAAAUCUCCCCGAACCACGUUAAGCACCUCAAGUGUUUCACAUCGAACCCCUAGUAAAAUCCCGCCAGAUCUUCCUCUAGGAGGUAGGACGUGCCAAUCAAAAUCAAUUCCUCCGGAAAGAGUUGUAAGGAACUGUGAGGUAAAGUUAUCUCACCGUGUUUCCAUUAGUGCAAUAAAAUCUAAAAGUUUCUCUAUCGUUGUCUCAUCCAAGAACCUUCGUUUAGCCAAGUCAGCUAGACCUCUGCUAUUCCAAAAGAUUCCUUUCAUAAGUCAUCAUGGAAUUUUUUCUUAAGCUUAACCCUAGCGCUUCUACGAACCGCCGAAGUGGGAUAAAUUUUCCGUUUCCAGGGUCGCUUGGGCUUCUCUCCUGCACCCUUCGAAAACAUUGGAUCGGCAGUACAUGAGACAUUGCCCUCCAUCAUUAGAGGCUCUACAGUGUCUGUAGUUUCCGACUCCUCCUCAUCUUCGGCCUCCGCACUAUGCAAGAGAUUAUUGCGAAUGUUUGCAAGGGCAUCCAUUCCUAAAGUUUUCAUGUCAUCGUCAUUCAUAGGUUUUCCGAAUUAUUUCUGAAGCCCGCUCUGCUUCUAAGUCUAAAAGAUCAUUCACGGAUUUCGCAACCUCCGUCUCAUUUGAACCCAAAGAAAUACCUAAGUUGUUUGCUUUAUCAACUAUUUCAUGCUCGAUGAAAUGAAGAAUUGAACAACUCUUAUCGAACGACAUACCUGUAUUUGCCUCGACAUCUUGAAGCAUGGAAACCCUCUUGGCGCGCGCUAUCUGUAGGUCGUCAGCAUCCGGCUGCUAACACGCCUGCCGGCCGUCACCGGAUUCGUGAUCCCACCGAAAGUGAUAAGCUCCUCCGUCGUCCUCUCCCGAGGCGUAUCCACCCGACUCCCACACCCUUCCCUUAGCGCUGGUGAAGAAGGGUAAGGUGUGGUCGAGUGGGUAGCGCCAAUGGUAGUAAUGGGGGAAGGAGACCGUGGAGCCACCUGCUCUAUAGUCCCACUCCCCCCUCGGCAUCCAAGCAUAUGUCCCCUGUCCAUGCUGCCCGGCUGGGUCCCGCGAAGAGGAGAGGCCGCGGGCCUCCUGCCCGCGUCCCUCCUCCAGCUCAGUCGGAGCCGCCGGAUGAGGGAGGGCUUCGUGGACCUCCUAUCCGGGCCCCUCCCCCGAGAAGCUCGAGGCCAUCGCAUCAGGGUGGGCGCUACGGGCCUCCUGCCCACGGCACCCCCCACUCACACUCAGGACAUCAGUGCGAACCAAAGGUCGUAGGAGUCAUCGGGGCACGCAUGUCCGCCGUGACCAGGCCACCGCCAGCUCGAGUGUGCCGUGCCUCCUGGGUGGUUGGCUCUGGGGUAGUCAUCGCCUCCCUCGGCGCGACCGUCAACCCGGCGUCCGCCCGCUGAGAAGAUAGACCUGUCGGCCACUCACAAGGGAGCAUCAUCGGUGGUAACUCACGUUCCACCGGAUCGUCCGCCUCUACUCGGUUGCUCCAUAACCGACUAGGCGUAGACCUCACGCCAAAAGUGCCAAACCGAAGUGUGUUCAUCAGAGUUGUGGAUGGUGGUGCCUCUUUGGCAGACAUAUCCGUCUUAUCUGGCUAUGAAUUCGGCCCCGUAACCGUGUCCCGUGGCGCACUCUCGGGCCCCUUAUCCUGAUUUCCGGGGGCUCCGUCCCCCUCAGUAGUGUACGUAUCCUUAUACUCAUCCCCCUCCUGAGGAAUCGGUGUGUCCUCAAUCUCGAUCUCUAGGACGUAAGUGACUCCGGCAUGUGUCCAGCUAACUACAUCCGAUACAAACUCAACGCUGACUACACUAACAAGUAACCUCGCCGCACCCUGUGCACGAGUGAAAGGCAUGUCCACCUGAUCCGUCUUACCAAUAAAAGAUCCCAAGCUCCAGGCUACCAGAAAGUGAUUAAUCGUUUUGGGUGGUGCACCAUAGAACCGUAGCCAUACCUUCUCUAAAGGUGUGCCCACUGGUUGCGGCUGCUUCCACUCAUCGAAAGCCAUGAUAAUGUUGGUGCUCGGAACUCUGCACAAACCCCACUUAAGAAUAUGUAAUUGAUCCUCUUUAGUGGGAAAAUCCACCUUGUAAGUCUGGUUCUCCAACUUGUCAAUAUGCCACUGAUAGUUACCCGGUACCAACUCUCGCAGCUGCCUCACAAUGUGAGCCUCUGUCAUGUUCCCGUUGGUAACCUUAACCACUGCUGGGAAAGAACUCUCCACCACGUGUGUCAAAGGUGCCACCUCAGGAGACUCAAAAAACAUCAACUCUUUGCAGCAGACUCCAAAAAUGUUUACCCCUGGCUUGGGGCCGGACAGGAGUGGGCAAUCACUGGUCGCAUGCUGCGACAAAGUGCCCCGGUUCACCACAUCUAUAGCAAGGUAGUUUCUUCUUCUUAAUUGCCCACUUCGAAAGUUUUUCUCCUUCCAGUUUUUCCGAGCCUUUGUCCGUCCCACCAUCACUUAUCUUAGCAGCUCCAGUGGCCGCCGGAAUAGAGACCGCUGCCAGGGCCCUGACUGUGUCUACAGCCACCGCGGGCAGAGUAGGUAUAGCCGCCGCCGUAGUUGCUGCGAUGUCCAUCACCGCCCCCGGGGGCGUGUGAGCCGUGUCAGCCGGCGGUGGUGGAGGUGGACGCGGUGGAGGUGGGCGCCUUCCACCCCCUCUCCCGCCGCGGUGAUAUGCCCCCGGUAACAGUCAUUGGGGCCGGCAACUCCUUCAACAAAAUUCCCGGGUGGACCCGGAAAACCAUGUCCUUGGCCGCCGCCAUUGUGCCAGUUGUAACCUCGACCGCCACCCGAGGAUGACCCAUGGUGCUGACCCUCGCCUUACACAUCGUAGCCAUCAUCACCCCACUGCCCGUACCGAUUGAAUUGAUUGUUGGGGAACGUAGUAAUUUCAAAAAAAUUCCUACGCACACGCAAGAUCAUGGUGAUGCAUAGCAACGAGAGGGGAGAGUGUUGUCCACGUACCCUCAUAGACCGAAAGCGGAAGCGUUAUGACAACGCGGUUGAUGUAGUCGUACGUCUUCACGAUCGACCGAUCCUCAGUAUCGAACGUACGGCACCUCCAUGUUCUGCACACGUUCAGCUCGAAGAUGUCCUGCGAACUCACGAUCCAGUAGAGCUUCGCCGGAGAGUUUCGUCAGCACGACGGCGUGAUGACGGUGAUGAUGAUGCAACCGAUGCAGGGCUUCGCCCAAGCACCUCUACGAUAUUACCAAGGUGGAUUAUGGUGGAGGGGGCACCGCACAUGGCUAAGAGAUCAAUGAUCAAUUGUUGUGUCUCCAAGGGGUGCCCCCCUCCCCGUCUAUAAAGGAGUGGAGGAGGGGGAGGGGGUCGGCCUCCUAUGGCGCGCCCCAUGAGGAGUCCUACUCCCACCGGGAGUAGGACUCCCCCCUUCCAAGUAGGAGUAGGAGAGGAGAAGGAAGGGAGAGAAGGAGAGAAGGAAAGGGGGGCGCCCCCCCCCUCCUUGUCCAAUUCGGACAAGAGGGGAGGGGCGCGCGGCUGCCCUGGCCGCCCCUCCUCUUCUCCCACUAGGGCCCAUUAGGCCCAAUAUACUCCCCGGGGGGUUCCGGUAACCCCCGGUACUCCGGUAUAUGUCCGAAACCUCCCGAAACACUUUCGGUGUCCAAACAUAGUCGUCAAAUAUAUCGAUCUUUAAGUCUCAACCAUUUCGAGGCUCCUCGUCAUGUCUGUCAUCAUAUCCGGGGCUCCGAACUACCUUCGGUACAUCAAAACACAAAAACUCAUAAUACCGAUCGUCACCGAACUUUAAGCGUGCGGACCCUACGGGUUCAAAAACUAUGUAGACAUGACCGAGACACAUCUCCAGUCAAUAACCAAUAGCGGAACCUGGAUGCUCAUAUUGGUUCCUACAUAUUCUACGAAGAUCUUUAUCGGUCAAACCGCAUAACAACAUACGUUGUUCCCUUUGUCAUCGGUAUGUUACUUGUCCGAGAUUCGAUCGUCGGUAUCUCAAUACCUAGCUCAAUCUCGUUACCGGCAAGUCUCUUUACUCGUUAUGUAAUGCAUCAUCCCGCAACUAAAUCAUUAGUUGCAUUGCUUGCAAGGCUUAUAGUGAUGUGCAUUACCGAGAGGGCCCAGAGAUACCUCUCCGACAAUCGGAGUGACAAAUCCUAAUCUCGAUCUAUGCCAACUCAACAAGUACCAUCGGAGACACCUGUAGAGCACCUUUAUAAUCACCCAGUUACGUUGUGACGUUUGGUAGCACACAAAGUGUUCCUCCGGUAAUCGGGAGUUGCAUAAUUUCAUAGUCAUAGGAGCAUGUAUAAGUUAUGAAGAAAGCAAUAGCAGUAAACUAAAACGAUCAAGUGCUAAGCUAACGGAAUGGGUCAAGUCAAUGACAUCAUUCUCCUAAUGAUGUGAUCCCGUUUAUCAAAUGACAACUCAUGUCUAUGGUUAGGAAACUUAACCAUCUUUGAUCAACGAGCUACUCAAGUAGAGGCAUACUAGUGACACUCUGUUUGUCUAUGUAUUCACAUAUGUAUUAUGUUUCCGGUUAAUACAAUUCUAGCAUGAAUAAUAAACAUUUAUCAUGAAAUAAAGAAAUAAAUAAUAACUUUAUUAUUGCCUCUAGGGCAUAUUUCCUUCAGUCUCCACUUGCACUAGAGUCAACAAUCUAGUUCACAUUGCCAUGUGAUUUAACACCAAUAGUUCACAUCACCAUGUGACCAACACUCAAAGGGUUUACUAGAGUCAAUAAUCUAGUUCACAUCGCUAUGUGAUUAACACCCAAAGAGUACUAAGGUGUGAUUAUGUUUUGCUUGUGAGAGAAGUUUAGUCAACGGGUCUGCCACAUUCAGAUCCGUAUGUAUUUUUGCAAAUUUCUAUGUCAACAAUGCUCUGCACGGAGCUACUCUAGCUAAUUGCUCCCACUUUCAAUAUGUAUCCAUAUUGAAACUUAGAGUCAUCUGGAUCAGUGUUAAAACUUGCAUCGACGUAACCCUUUAUGACGAACCUUUUGUCACCUCCAUAAUCGAGAAACAUAUCCUUAUUCCACUAAGGAUAAUUUUGACCGCUGUCCAGUGAUCCACUCCUAGAUCACUAUUGUACUCCCUUGCUAAACUCAGUGUAGGGUAUACAAUAGAUCUGGUACACAGCAUGGCAUACUUUAUAGAACCUAUUGCUGAGGCAUAGGGAAUGACUUUCAUUUUCUUUCUAUCUUCUGCCGUGGUCGGGCUUUGAGUCUUACUCAAUUUCACACCUUGUAACAUAGGCAAGAACUCUUUCUUUGACUGUUCCAUUUUGAACUACUUCAAAAUUUUGUCAAGGUAUAUGUACUCAUUCAAAAAACUUUAUCAAGCGUCUUGAUCUAUCUCUAUAGAUCUUGAUGCUCAAUAUGUAAGCAGCUUCACAGAGGUCUUCCUUUGAAAAAACUCCUUUCAAAUACUCCUUUAUGCUUUCCAGAAAAUUCUACAUUAUUUCUGAUCAACAAUAUGUCAUUCACAUAUACUUAUCAGAAAUGUUGUAGUGCUCCCACUCACUUUCUUGUAAAUACAGGCUUCACUGUAAGUCUGUAUAAAACUAUAUGCUUUGAUCAACUCAUCAAAGCGUAUAUUCCAACUCCGAGAUGCUUGCACUAGUCCAUAGAUGGAUCGCUGGAGCUUGCACAUUUUGUUAACACCUUUAGGAUCGAUAAAACCUUCUGGUUGCAUCAUAUACAACUCUUCUUUAAUAAAUCCAUUAAGGAAUGUAGUUUUGACAUCCAUUUGCCAGAUUUCAUAAAAUGUGGCAAUUUGCUAACAUGAUUCGGACAGACUUAAGCAUCGCUACGAGUGAGAAAAUCUCAUCGUAGUCAACACCUUUAACUUUGUCAAAAACCUUUUCUUACAAGUCUAGCUUUGUAGAUAGUAACACUACUAUCAGUGUCCGUCUUCCUCUUGAAGAUCCAUUUAUUUUCUAUGGCUUGCCGACCAUUGGGCAAGUCAACCAAAGUCCACACUUUGUUCUCAUACAUGGAUCCCAUCUCAGAUUUCAUGGCCUCAAGCCAUUUCGCGGAAUCUGGGCUCAUCAUCGCUUCCUCAUAGUUUGAGGUUCGUCAUGGUCAAAUAACAUGACCUUCAGAACAGGAUUACCGUACCACUCUGGUGCGGAUCUCACUCUGGUUGACCUACGAGGUUCGGUAGUAACUUGAUCUGAAGUUACAUGAUCAUCAUCAUUAGCUUCCUCACUAAUUGGUGUAGGAGUCACAAGAACAGAUUUCUGUGAUGAACUACUUUUCAAUAAGGGAGCAGGUACAGUUACCUCAUCAAGUUCUACUUUCCUCCCACUCACUUCUUUCGAGACAAACUCCUUCUCUAGAAAGGAUCCAUUCUUAGCAACGAAUCUCUUGCCUUCGGAUCUGUGAUAGAAGGUGUACCCAACUGUCUCCUUUGGGUAUCCUAUGAAGACACAUUUCUCCGAUUUGGGUUUGAGCUUAUCAGGAUGAAACUUUUUCACAUAAGUAUCGCAACCCCAAACUUUAAGAAACGACAACUUUGGUUUCUUGCCAAAUCACAGUCCAUAUGGUGUCGUCUCAACGGAUUUAGAUGGUGCCCUAUUUAACGUGAAUGCAGCUGUCUCUAAUGCAUAACCCCAAAAUGAUAGUGGUAAAUCGGUAAGAGACAUCAUAGAUUGCACCACAUCUAAUAAAGUACAGUUACGAUGUUCGGACACACCAUUACGUUGUGGUGUUCCAGGUGGCGUGAGUUGUGAAACUAUUCCGCAUUGAUUCAAAUGAAGACCAAACUCGUAACUCAAAUAUUCUCCUCCACGAUCAGAUCGUAGAAACUUUAUUUUCUUGUUACGAUGAUUUUCCACUUCACUCUGAAAUUAUUUGAACUUUUCAAAUGUUUCAUCUUUAUGAUUCAUCAAGUAGAUAUACCCAUAUCUGCUCUAAUCAUCUGUGAAGGUCAGAAAAUAACGGUACCUACCGCGAGCCUCAACACUCAUCGGACUGCAUACAUCAGUAUGUAUUAUUUCCAACAAGUCUGCUGCUCGCUCCAUUGUUCCAGAGAACGGAGUCUUAGUCAUCUUGCCCAUGAGGCAUGGUUCGCAAGCAUCAACUGAUUCAUAAUCAAGUGAUUCCAAAAGCCCAUCAGCAUGGAUUUUCUUCAUGCGCUUUACACCAAUAUGACCUAAACGGCAGUGCCACAAAUAAGUUGCACUAUCAUUAUUAACUUUGCAUCUUUUAGCUUCAAUAUUAUGAAUAUGUGUAUCACUACGAUCGAGAUUCAAUAAACCAUUCACCUUGGGUGUAUGAUCAUUGAAGGUUUUAUUCAUGUAAACAGAACAACAAUUAUUCUCUGACUUUAAAUGAAUAGCCGUAUUACAAUAAACAUGAUCAAAUCAUAUUCAUGCUUAACGCAAACACCAAAUAACAUUUAUUUAGGUUCAACACUAAUCCUGAAAGUAUAGGGAGUGUGCGAUAAUGAUCAUAUCAAUCUUGGAACUACUUCCAACACACAUCGUCACCUCGCCCUUAACUAGUUUAUGUUCAUUCUGCAACUCCCGUUUCGAGUUACUACUCUUAGCAACUGAACCAGUAUCAAAUGCCGAGGGGUUGCUAUAAACACUAGUAAAGUACAACAUCAAUAACAUGUAUAUCCAAUAUACCUUUGUUCACUUUGCCAUCCUUCUUAUCCGACAAAUACUUGGGGCAGUUCCGCUUCCAGUGACCAGUCCCUUUACAGUAGAAGCACUGAGUCUCAGGCUUAGGUCCAGACUUGGGCUUCUUCACUCGAGCAGCAACUUGCUUGCCAUUCUUCUUGAAGUUCCCCUUCUUCCCUUUGCCCUUUUCUUGAAACUAGUGGUCUUGUCAACCAUCAACACUUGAUGCUUUUCUUGAUUUCUACCGUCGUCGAUUUCAGCAUCAUGAAGAGCUUGGGAAUCGUUUCCGUUAUCCCUUGCAUAUUAUAGUUCAUCACGAAGUUCUAGUAACUUGGUGAUAGUGACUAGAGAACUCUAUCAAUCACUAUCUUAUCUCGAAUAUUAACUCCCACUUGAUUCAAGUGAUUGUAGUACUCAGACAUUCUGAGCACAUGCUCACUAGCUGAGCUAUUCUCCUCCAUCUUGUAGGCAAAGUACUUGUCAAAGGUCUCAUACCUUUCGACAUGGGCAUGAGUUUGAAAUAAUAAUUUCAACUCUUGGAACAUAUCAUAUGCUCUGUGGCAUUAAAACAAAAUGUCUUUGAAGCCCCGAUUCUAAGCCGUAAAGCAUGGUGCACUAAACUAUCAAGUAGUCAUCAUAUCGAGCUUGCCAAACGUUCAUAACGUUUGCAUUUGCUCCUGCAUCGGUCUAUCACCUAGCGGUCAUCAAGGACAUAAUUCUUCUGUGCAGCAAUGAGGAUAAUCCUCAGAUCACGGAUCCAAUCCGCAUCAUUGCUGCUAACAUUUUUCAACUUAGCUUUCUCUAGGAACAUAUCAAAAAUAUAACAGGGAAGCUAAACGCGAGCUAUUGAUCUACAACAUAGAUAUGCUAAUACUACCAGGACUAAGUUCAUGAUAAAUUAAAGUUCAAUUAAUCAAAUUACUUAAGAACUCCCACUUAGAUAGACAUCCCUCUAAUCAUCUAAGUGAUCAUGUGAUCCAUAUCAAUUAAACCAUGUCCGAUCAUCACGUGAGAUGGAGUAGUUUUCAAUGGUGAACAUCACUAUGUUGAUCAUAUCUACUAUAUGAUUCACGCUCGACCUUUCGGUCUCAGUGUUCCGAGGCCAUAUCUGCAUAUGCUAGGCUCGUCAAGUUUAACCCGAGUAUUCUACGUGUGCAAAACUGGCUUGCACCCGUUGUAUAUGAACGUAGAGCUUAUCACACCCGAUCAUCACGUGGUGUCUCGGCACGACGAACUUUGGCAACGGUGCAUACUCAGGGGGAACACUUGUACCUUGAAAUUUAGUGAGAGAUCAUCUUAUAAUGCUACCGUCAAUGAAAGCAGAAUAAGAUGCCAAAAGGAUAAGCAUCACAUGCAAUCAAUAUAAGUGAUAUGAUAUGGCCAUCAUCAUCUUGUGCCUUUGAUCUCCAUCUCCAAAGCACCGUCAUGAUCACCACCGUCACCAGCGCGACACCUUGAUCUCCAUCGUAGCAUCGUUGUCGUCUCGCCAACUAUUGCUUCUACGACUAUCGCUACCGCUUAGUGAUAAAGUAAAGCAAUUGCAGGGCGAUUGCAUUGCAUACAAUAAAGCGACAACCAUAUGGCUCCUGCCAGUUGCCGAUAACUUCGUUACAAAACAUGGUCAUCUCAUACAAUAAAAUAUAGCAUCAUCCCUUGACCAUAUCACAUCACAUCAUGCCCUGCAAAAACAAGUUAGACGUCCUCUACUUUGUUGUUGCAAGUUUUACGUGGCUGCUACGGGCGGAGCAAGAACCGUUCUUACCUACGCAUCAAAACCACAACGAUAUUUCGUCAAGUUAUUGUUGUUUUAACCUUCAACAAGGACCGGGCGUAGUCACACUCGGUUCAACUAAAGUUGGAGAAACUGACACCCGCCAGCCACCUGUGUGCGAAGCACGUCGGUAGAACCAGUCUCGCGUAAGCGUACGCGUAAUGUCGGUCCGGGCCGCUUCAUCCAACAAUACCGUCGAACCAAAGUAUGACAUGCUGGUAAGCAGUAUGACUUGUAUCUCCCACAACUCACUUGUGUUCUACUCGUGCAUAUAACAUCUACGCAUAAACCUGGCUCGGAUGCCACUGUUGGGGAACGUAGUAAUUUCAAAAAAAUUCCUACGCACACGCAAGAUCAUGGUGAUGCAUAGCAACGAGAGGGGAGAGUGUUGUCCACGUACCCUCGUAGACCGAAAGCGGAAGCGUUAUGACAACGCGGUUGAUGUAGUCGUACGUCUUCACGAUCGACCGGUCCUUAGUAUCGAACAUACGGCACCUCCGUGUUCUGCACACGUUCAGCUCGGAGACGUCCUGCGAACUCACGAUCCAGUACAGCUUCGCCGGAGAGUUUCGUCAGCAUGACGGCGUGAUGACAGUGAUGAUGAUGCUACCGACGCAAGGCUUCGCCCAAGCACCUCUACGAUAUUACCAAGGUGGAUUAUGGUGGAGGGGGGCACCACACACGGCUAAGAGAUCAAUGAUCAAUUGUUGUGUCUCCAAGGGGUGCCCCCCUCCCCGUAUAUAAAGGAGUGGAGGAGGGGGAGGGGGCCGGCCUCCUAUGGCGCGCCCCAUGAGGAGUCCUACUCCCACCGGGAGUAGGACUCCCCCCUUCCAAGUAGGAGUAGGAGAGGAGAAGGAAGGGAGAGAAGGAGAGAAGGAAAGGGGGCGCCCCCCCCCCCCCCUCCUUGUCCAAUUCGGACUAGAGGGGGAGGGGGAGCGCGGCUGCCCUGGCCGCCCCUCCUCUUCUCCCACUAGGGCCCAUUAGGCCCAAUAUACUCCCCGGGGGGUUCCGGUAACCCCCGAUACUCCGGUAUAUGUCCGAAACCCCCCGAAACACUUCCGGUGUCCGAACAUAGUCGUCAAAUAUAUCGAUCUUUAAGUCUCAACCAUUUCGAGACUCCUCGUCAUGUCUGUGAUCAUAUCCGGGACUCCGAACUACCUUCGGUACAUCAAAACACAAAAACUCAUAAUACUGAUCGUCACCGAACUUUAAGCGUGUGGACCCUACGGGUUCGAGAACUAUGUAGACAUGACCAAGACACGUCUCCGGUCAAUAACUAAUAGCGGAACCUGGAUGCUCAUAUUGGUUCCUACAUAUUCUACGAAGAUCUUUAUCGGUCAAACCGCAUAACAACAUACGUUGUUCCCUUUGUCAUCGGUAUGUUACUUGCCCGAGAUUCGAUCGUCGGUAUCUCAAUACCUAGCUCAAUCUCGUUACCGGCAAGUCUCUUUACUCGUUAUGUAAUGCAUCAUCACGCAACUAACUCAUUAGUUGCAUUGCUUGCAAGGCUUAUAGUGAUGUGCAUUACCGAGAGGGCCCAGAGAUACCUCUCCGACAAUCGGAGUGACGAAUCCUAAUCUCGAUCUAUGCCAACUCAACAAGUACCAUCGGAGACACCUGUAGAGCACCUUUAUAAUCACCCAGUUACAUUGUGAUGUUUGGUAGCACACAAAGUGCUCCUCCGGUAAUCGGGAGUUGCAUAAUCUCAUAGCCAUAGGAACAUGUAUAAGUUAUGAAGAAAGCAAUAGCAGUAAACUAAAACGAUCAAGUGCUAAGCUAACGGAAUGGGUCAAGUCAAUCACAUCAUUCUCCUAAUGAUGUGAUCCCGUUUAUCAAAUGACAACUCAUGUCUAUGGUUAUGAAACUUAACCAUCUUUGAUCAACGAGCUAGUCAAGUAGAGGCAUACUAGUGACACUCUGUUUGUCUAUGUAUUCACACAUGUAUUAUGUUUCCGGUUAAUACAAUUCUAGCAUGAAUAAUAAACAUUUAUCAUGAAAUAAAGAAAUAAACAAUAACUUUAUUAUUGCCUCUAGGGCAUAUUUCCUUCAUUAAUGACCAUCUCUGCCGUAUCCGCCGUAGCCAUGGCCAUCACAGCCCUGAUUUGCACCGCGACCACGCCCUAGGGCAUGUGCUUGGCCGCCGCCGGCUGUGCCGGCUCCUCCAGCUGCCGCGCGUUCGGCCGGCUAGCAACAUGCGGCGGACCUGAGGCUUGUGGUCCUGCAGCGGCCGAUGGCGGUUGCCUCGCAGGAGGUGGAGCUCCCCACCCAGCCCCAGUGGCGGGCGGCGGCGGUUGCCUCGCAGGAGGUGGAGCACCCCGGCCGGACCCAGCGGCGGGGGGCGGCCCUUGCCUGGCGGGCGACGGGCCUCCGCUGUGACACCCAAGUUUCUAUUGAAUUUUUCAAAAAGAUUUUUAUUUGACUUGAAGGGAGUGAUUUAAAAAUUUUCUUCAAGAGAACUCUCACUCUCAAAUAUUUUUCUUUAUGGCAAAAAUUUUAUUUGAAUUCACCCAAGAUCUGCCUUUGACCUGGGGAGUUCUUGCUCUUCAUUUGGGCUCAAGACAAAAUGUUUUUCAUUUGAGAGCAUAACUUUUGAAAACCUUUUCUUGAAUUUGCACUAUGGCUUUUGGAAAGUACUUUGCCACUUUCAACUAUUCCUUCUUGCCAUGGCAUAAGUGCAAAUCCUCUCUCCUAAACACUCCCUCACCUCUGGAUCAUGAUUUACAUCAAAUCCAGCAAGUUGAACCUCCCCAUGUAUUUAUUUUCUAUUCAAAUUCUAUUCAAAUAUUUUCUGCCUUCUAUUCUACCUCUUGGAGAUUUACAAAGGAACUCCAUUUUCUGUUUGGACUUUUACCACCAAACUUCUUUCCCCUCCUAGUCCUUUGAACCCUCAACCUAGAACCAUGAAGAUCCACUGGUCUCCAGUUCAAAAUUUUCAAACUACAUCAGCUGCAAGUUUGGACCAGAUUUGCCAAAUUUGGUGAAAUUCAUUCAAAACCUUCUCCAAAAAUUCCAAGUAAAUUCAGGCAGCCCCUGGGUGCUUUGAGUGAUCGUCUCACCAAGUUACAGCUCCAGAAAAAUUUAUCCCUUUACCAAAACCUACUGUCGAACACCUGCAAUGCUUGGUCACUGUCAAGAUUCAGUAAGUUCAGAGUUCAGUCAAGUGGCUGCUGUCGUUUUCUUCAGAAACGGGCGUCGAUCUCACCAGUACCCUCGCGUCGCCUUGCUCCUCGUCCUCGCCCUCUCGUUCCUGCACCGCACGAGUGCCUGGCAUCUUGCGGGCGUCGGCGACGAGCAGCAGAAGGUGCGCCGCCCCGUGACCGACGCCGGCGGCGGCUUUGCGGACGCCAGCGGGAGACACGGCGCCGCCGACUCCACCCAGCGCCGCCCAAACCACCGGAGCCCGCCGCGUGGCCGUCCAAUCCCCCGAAUGCGCUGCCGCUCUUGUCGUGAACCCCAGGGCGCGGAGCGCGCUCUCUGCCGCCGUUGAGCCCGUGCGGUCACCUCACCGUGGGCAGACGCCAUUACGCCAAGACCAACCCCGUUCAGCUGCAAAUCGAGUCCAGUAACAUCCACUGAUGCUGCUCGACCGCUCAAACCCCCUGCCAACCCACUGCUCCGCCGUAAUCGCUCGCCGGAGAUUCUCCGUUCACGGCCACCCCGUCGAUCUGCCUAUAAAUAGGGGCCCCGAGCUUCAACUCGAGCACCCACCAGCCCUACACUUCCCCUAGAGCACGCCCAGCCACUGGAAGAGCCGUGAGGGGGUCUCCUUCCUCGACUCCGGCCGCCGCGAUCCGCCACGGGAUCCAGCCCGAUUCGCCCCCGUGUGUGCUCCACAGCCCCCAUUCUCUUGCCAGUAGCUUCUCCUUGCAUCACCCGUUCUGACCCGCGCCUCAAUUCGUACUUUGCAGCCCUCCACCGGAGUUCCCCAACCUCACCCGAACCGCCGUCCGCCGGAGAUAGUGUCGCCGUCGACGUGGUGCUCCCCGUUGGACGAGUCCACCACCCACCGACGCGGAAGAAGACACUGAAGCUCUUGGUACCCUCCGUUUCUCCUAACUCGCCGUGGUUCGACGCCGGCGUCCAUCGCCGUCUUCGGGCGCCGGCGAGCUUUCAAACCUGACAUGCGGGCCCCGCGUGUCAGCCUCUGUUUUAUUUCCCCGAACCGUUUUCUGUUGGCGCCUUCGGGCAAAAUACGUUUUCUCCUUGCGCUUGCGCAUUCCCAGCCGAAGCGUUUUCUGUUUUCUCAGUUAAAACCCUGGAACUUUUCUGUUUCAUUACAGAAAGGUCCCUGGACAGAAACCUUUAUAACUUUUUUAAUGAAAAGGCAUUUUUGAGUGAUUCUUUUUCUGUCAAUCUCCAAAUUUUGUCUAGUUUUUUAUGGGAUUUAUUUGAAAAAUAUUUGGCAAAGUUUCUGUGCAUGUGUUGGUUUUCACGUUAGUACCCCGUUUCGUGAUUGCCGUAGGUUCCGGGAGAGGGGACGGAGCCGCGAACUUCGCCGAGCUAGACUCCGACUUCUCCGAACCAGGCAAGCAUGUUUGAACAUUUGAUAUGGCAGAUGUUUUGCAUGUUCAUGUGAAAGUUUGUGUGUGGCAUAUGAGUGUCGGUAAAUAUCUCGUUGCUCGUAAGGCAACGACCCAGUUGUUCCGAAGUUGCGAUGACCUCUGAUGAGAGGUGGCCUAAUCAUGUGGUGACAUGAAGGGCAGCAAGGUGGUACUGUUGUAGCAUGCCAGCCUUGCGUCAUCCGACUUUCUUCGACGUUAACGUGGUUGGAGCCACGUUAUCGAUCUUUUCCCGCAUGUUCCAAAGUUGCGAUGACCUCUGAUGAGAGGUGGCCUAAUCAUGUGGUGACAUGAAGGGCAGCAAGGUGGUACUGUUGUAGCAUGCCAGCCUUGUGUCAUCCGACUUUUCCGACGUUAACAUGGUUGGAGCUGUGUUAUCGUCCCUUCCCCUUUCCGUGCUACCACAUGUCUCAUUGCCAGGAUACGGUUUAGUAAGUUGGUAACCUCUUUCCGUGUACACACCAAACAGAGAGGCCGGGAUGAUGGUACCUUGGCCCAGGAUUAAAGCCAGUCAUUCGGUCAGGGGGCAUGGGUGUUUCCGGUUGGGACCGAGAGGGGGGGCACCCCCUUAUAGCGCGCGUAUAGAAAUUUGAUCCCAUGCUACGCGAGGUUGUAGCCUCCCCGACUCAAGGUUUUUCCUGAAUGUUGCCGAGGGUGAUCCCUGGCUUCGGAUGGUUAAAUUGGGUGUGUACUGGUUAGACGUGUUCCUUCCAGAACACCGUAGACGGAACUAGUCCCCGUGACUACUGAAAUCCGUUGGCUGUGGUUAAGUACAAACUCUGCAGAGUCAAUUCUUUCCAAAUCAUCGUAUCCAUGAUCAGUAAUGUAGACUUUAUAUCCAAAUCUAUCCGUGUGAAAACUUGCCCCCGGUGAACAAGCUCAAGUGGUAAAUUCAAUUUCAUUGUUAUUCCUGUGGAUGGACUAACAUUAUAUUUGUCUCGUGCUUGUGAUAAAUUAUAUUCCCGAACUAUUGUAUUGUUGUGUUACAAUAUAAGCCCUUUAUGUGACGUCGCGCAGACGUCCGACUGCGGCAUGCACUGUCUUUACUUUCUGUUAUAAGCCCUUUAUGUGGUGUCGCCCCGACGCCCGACUGUGGCAUUAUUGUUCCGCAUUUUCCGCUCGAGGAGUCUUUCAGACACUCGUUUGGCACCUGUAUUAUUAUUCCGCAUUUUCCGCUCGAGGAGUCUUUCUGACACUCGUUUGGCACCUGUAUUAUUAUUCCGCAUUUUCCGCUCGAGGAGUCUUUCUGACACUCGUUUGGCACCAGUAUUACUAUUCUGCAGUUUCCGCUCGAGGCGUCAUUCAGACCCUCGCUUGGCACCCAGUAUUUAUUAUCUCUGUGUCUGAUCGCACUGGUUAACUUAUUCAUGUGCUUCAUGUUUGCAUUUGUUAUACCUUAUGUCCGAACUGUCUUGCGAGUACUUUCAUAGUACUCACCUGGCUUGUUGAUUUGGCUAGAUGCUGACGAAGGCGAUCUCUUGGAUGAAGAGUUUGAUAGCGCGUCCGACGCCUAGAGGAGUCCCAGUCAGUCCUGCGCGAUCCCGGAUAUUGGUCACUUUUAUCGUUUACGCUUCCGCCACCCGCAAUAAGUCAUCUCGAGCCUCACUCCGACGCUCGAAGAGUUGUAGUAUUCUGGAAUCAUGUCACUCGCUUCGCGAUGAUAUUUCCACCACCGUUAUUAUCGUGAGUUAGAAGUUUGCCACCCUAUCCGCCGUAUUGUUUUAUCGGCGUGCUUGUAAUAAAUUGUUGGGCAGCCUCUGCUCAACUUUGUAUUAUAUUUAGUACUCCUGGUAUUUUUCUUCUGUGACCAAUGUAUUGUCUAUCAGUGAGAAGGAAUUCUUCCUCGCUGGUCCGUAACAGGGAUUGGUUUCUCAAUAAUUAUUUUAUUGAAAAACCGGUCGUGACAAGCUUGGUAUCAGAUCCAGGCUGACUGUAGGAAGCCACUAGGUGCGAUCGCUAAUCGGUUAUUAGCGUCUUUAGUGCUUCCUCAGCAUUUUGCAAUUGUAGCUAUUUUCUGUUGGUCAUCAUAAAAUUUAUGACAUGACUACUCAGAAUUUUUGCCUACUUUUGUAGAUGGCUGGCAGCGGCUGUGAGAAUCGAGUGUUCACCAACGUGCCCGAGGGGUUUGUCAAGCUCCUCGUCUCCAUCACCAAGCUCGCGAUCGGGCCAGCAGCUCGCCCGGAGUUCACCCUCUAUCAGCACAAGCUCAGUGACGACGUGUCUAUGCACCAGGCUGUGGUGCAAUUCAAGGGAGGACGAUCUGCUGCUCGCCAUUUCCGUUUUACGGGAAGGGCCAUGCCUACGGAGAGGCAUGCCAUGCAGAUGGCUGCCCGUGAGGCGAUAGCUCGCCUUCGGGACAUCCUUCCUACGAUGAAGACUCGUCGCUACCGCUACCUCCCAUGCCAUGUGCCUUACACCAGCCACUAUGCGUUCGCCUGCCAUCGGGGAGAGCGAGAUGAAGCCAUCGAGAUGGUUGUGGAGUAUCUCAAGGCUCUGGAGGAGUCCUUCGACAACCUCGUAGAUGAUCUUGUGGCUGCCCGCAUGGACUUAGUCCGGGGCGGUCCUGCCAGCAGGAAGGAGCUUCUCCACACGGCGCCGCCUCUGACAUUCGUCUCGUCUUCAGCCUCGUAUGCACCGGCCGUUUUGGCCACUGCUCGCCGUCUGCCUACCACUGAGGAGUUCGACCGAGUCAUCGCUCCUACUCCAGUCAGAGCCGCACCGCCUGCCGCACGCGCUCUACCGCCAGUCGCCCCCGCACCAUCACCGCAGCGCAGCGUCGCACGCCAGGAGCCAGCUAGAGAGGAGGAGGUUGAUUCUCCUGGACCGCUGAGCCUUGCCCUCGGCAAGGGGAAGGAGAUCUUCACCAUCUCCGACUGAGAGCACCGAGUAGCCGCGUGUUAUGCCUGCUUGUUUGAUGUGUUGUUUUUAUCUGUACGCUAGUUUGUGUUGGUGUGUUUGCUGCCUUCCGGAGUAGUACGCUAGCUUUUAAUAACAUGUCAGGAUUGUGUACGCACAACCUAAGUGCUGUAUCUUGUGUUUGCUUUCGCAUGUAAGAUUUGUGUUAAGCACUUCUUCUCCGUGAAAAUCAUUUGUGUUUCUUGAAAACCUUGAAGCCUUUUUGAUUAUUGCCUUUGCAAGGGUUUUCCUGCGCUACACGGUUUUUCUCAUGGGUUUUGCAAAUGAUACCCCAGACUGGAAAAAUGUCUCGCCCUUGGACUCGCUCUAUGCCCAAUCAGCCAGAAGAGGUUUACGGAACACAGACCAGCAACAAUUUCACUCAGGGUCAGUCCAGCCAACAGGACAGCGAAGCGGCACUAUCUCAAGUAUGCCGUCUCUUCGAGCAAAGCCAGCAACAGCACCAGGAGAUGAUGAACCAUGUCAUCAAUAUGGGAAACCACCGUGAACCCUAUCAACCACAUUCCAAGUUAUCUGAGUUACAGAAGACUCGCCCCUCAACUUUUGCUCACACCGACAGGCCACUGGAAGCCGAUGAUUGGCUUCGCGAGAUUGAAAGGAAACUGAUUAUCGCUCAAUGCUCAGAUCAUGAGAAGGUGCUUUAUGCACCACACUACCUUACUGGAGCAGCCGUAGCAUGGUGGGAAAACUUCCUACACAUGCACCCCAGGGAACACAACAUCACCUGGGAAGAAUUCAAGGAAGGCUUCCGUGGGGCACACAUUCCCAGGAGCAUCCUAAAGAUCAAGAAGAGAGAGUUUGAUGACCUGAAGCAAAGAGGCAUGACCGUCACAGAAUACAACGGCCAGUUUACCCAACUGUCUCGUUAUGCCUACGACGAGCACAUGACAGAAAACAAGAAGAUGGAAAAAUUCCUGGACGGCCUGGCACCAGCAUUAAGAUGCCAACUGAUUGUACACACCUUUCCGGAUUUUAAGACGCUGGUGGACAAGGCCAUCACCCUGGAGAAUGAGCGCCGUAGUCUGGAAGAUAUCCGCAAGCGGAAGAGGGACAAGACGACUCUUGCCCGCAGCAACCGAGGCAAGACUGAGGUCCCAAGGACAGACACGAGGAGAUCCACGGGUACUGAGCCAAGACCCGUCGGACAAUUUCAUGCCAGAGACAAGGAGUUCACAUACCGUCCAGGGGUCACCUGCUAUGCUUGUGGUCAACAAGGGCAUUAUGCUAAACAGUGCCCGAAGCCAAGAGACUCGGCACCCAAGCCGAACAAUGGUGGAAACAAUCCAGCCCCCAAGCGCAACAACUUCAAUCCCAGCAACAACCACAGGAAGGGUCACUUGAACCAUGUGACCAGGGAAGAAGCGCAGAAUGCCCCAGACAUCGUGCUCGGUACGUUCCCUGUCAACACAGUACCUGCCACGGUUUUGUUUGAUUCUGGAGCUUCCCAUUCGUUCGUUUCGAAGAGUUUUGUUUCGCAACAUGGUUUUCCGAUACUCCCCUUGGAAAAAUCUAUGAUCAUCAAGUCCCCCGGAAAUAAGCAAAUUGCUCAGGGUUACUGCCAGGGAGUGGUCAUUGAGUUCGAAGGACUACCAUUCCACGCGAAUCUCAUCGUGUUGGAAAGUAAAGGACUGGAUGUCAUUUUAGGAAUGGACUGAUUAACCACCAACAAAGGAUUCAUCGACUGUUUCAAUCGGACAAUGAUUCUCACUCACCAUCACGGCAAGACAAUAAGAGUUUCCGCUCAAGAAAGGCCACGAUCACAGAAACCAAAACUGAACAAGAUGGACAUCGCAGAAUUAAGAAAAGUGCCAGUGGUAUGCGAGUUCCCUGAUGUGUCCCGGAAGAACUACCAGGUAUGCCACCAGACCGAGAGAUCGAAUUCAGCAUUGAAUUAGCACCUGGCACCGCUCCCAUUUAUAAGAAGCCGUAUAGAAUGGCACCCUCAGAAUUGGUGGAGUUGAAGAAGCAGAUAAAGGAAUUACUGGACAAGGGGUUUACACGAGCCAGCUCCUCACCAUGGGGUUCGCCCGUAUUGUUCGCCAAGAAGAAGGAUGGGACACUGAGACUAUGCAUAGACUAUCGAGCCCUCAAUAUGGUCACCAUCAAAAACAAAUACCCGAUGCCACGGAUAAAUGAUUUGUUUGACCAGCUCGCACAAGCUAAAGUAUUUUCAAAGAUUGAUUUGAGAUCAGGAUACCAUCAACUGAAGGUACGAACAGAGGAUAUCCCCAAGACAGCAUUCACUUCCAGAUAUGGGUUAUACGAGUUUACGGUGAUGCCGUUUGGACUAACAAACGCCCCCGCAUAUUUCGUCCACCUCAUGAACAAAGUAUUCAUGAAAUUCAUGGACAAAUUUGUGGUGGUAUUCAUUGACGACAUUCUGGUUUACUCAAGGACACCAGAAGAACAUACUGAGCACCUCAGGAUUGUUUUGGGAGAAUUGAGGAAACAUCAGUUGUACGCCAAAUUUAGCAAAUGCGAAUUUUGGCUAAGACAAGUUGGUUUCUUGGGCCAUAUUUUGAACCAAGAAGGCGUGGCCGUAGACCCAGAAAAAGUCAAGGCCAUACUAGACUGGAAGCCACCCGCGAAUGUUACAGAUGUGCGGAGUUUCCUAGGGAUGGCCGGGUAUUACAGGAGGUUUAUUGAAGGAUUCUCCACUGUGGCAAAACCUAUAACACAGUUACUCAAGAAGGACAAGAAAUUCGUAUGGACGGAAGCAUGUGAGAAGAGCUUCCAAGAACUCAAGAAGAAGCUAACAACCGCACCAGUCUUAACCGUACCAGACAUACACAAGAGCUUUGAGGUGUAUUGUGACGCGUCCCGAAAAGGUCUCGGAUGUGUGCUAAUGCAGGAUGGCAAAGUUGUCGCAUAUGCCUCCAGACAGCUGCGAAAACAUGAGGAAAAUUACCCAACACAUGACUUGGAACUAGCAGCAGUUAUACAUGCACUCAAGGAGUGGAGGCACUUUCUGUUGGGAAAUCGCUGUGAAAUAUAUACGGACCAUAAGAGCCUCAAAUAUAUCUUCACACAGCCAGAGCUGAAUUUACGCCAACGACGCUGGUUGGAACUGGUCAAAGACUAUGACGUCGGCAUCCACUACCACCCAGGAAAAGCAAAUGUAGUGGCCGAUGCCCUUAGCCGAAACCCCAGCCCGGACAGUGACGGUCAGCAAAACUUGAGGCCUGAGUUUCAGCGAGAGUUCACUCGGCUCAACAUGAUGUUAGUCUCUGAGGGCACCAUAUCGAACCUGGAGAUACAACCCACCCUAGUGGAACAAAUCAAGAAGGCUCAACAGGGACAUCCCAGUAUCGAAGGCAUAAAGAAGAAAAUGAACCGUAGUAAGACUUCAGAAUUCGUCACGGACAGUGAAGGAACAUUAUGGUACCGGGACAGACUUUGCGUACCUAACAUUGAGGAACUCAAGCAACAGAUCUUGACGGAGAGCCACACCGCUCCAUACUCGAUACAUCCUGGAGGAACCAAAAUGUACAAGGACAUUCAGGAAAGAUUUUGGUGGCACGGUAUGAAAAGAGAUAUAGCCACAUUCGUUGCUUGUUGCGAUUCAUGUCAGCGCAUCAAGGCCGAGCACCAAAAGCCAGCAGGGCUACUCCAGCCUAACAAGAUACCGGAGUGGAAAUGGGAUGAAAUCGGAAUGGACUUCAUUGUCGGAUUACCCUGAUCACAGCGUGGAAAUGACGCCAUCUGGGUCAUCACAGACCGACUAACCAAGGUUGCUCACUUCAUUCCCGUGAAGACUACCUACUCCACACAAAGACUGGCAAAACUCUAUCUCUCCCGUAUAGUUUGCUUGCACGGAGUCCCAAAGACUAUAAUAUCAGACCGAGGCACCCAAUUCGUCUCCAAAUUUUGGGAUCACCUACAACAAGCUCUGGGCACGCAACUAGCUUUCAGUACAGCAUACCACCCUCAGACAGAUGGACAAACAGAACGUGUAAACCAAAUCCUAGAGGAUAUGCUAAGAGCCUGUGUGCUCACCUAUGGAUCCAGUUGGGAAGAGAGUUUGCCGUAUGCCGAAUUUGCGUACAACAACAGUUACCAAACCAGUUUGCAAAUGGCACCCUUUGAAGCAUUGUACGGACGGAGGUGUCGUACCCCAUUGAAUUGGUCAGAAACAGGUGACAGCCGUAUCUUCGGCCCAGAUAUGCUUAAGGAGGCCGAGGAAAAAGUUAAACAAAUCAGGGACAGACUCAAGACAGCACAGAGCCGACAAAAGAGCUACUAUGAUCAGAAGCAUCGUGAGGUCAGCUUUGAACCUGGUGAUUCUGUAUACCUCCGAGUACCUCCUAUGAGGGGUCUGCAACGGUUCAAAUUUAAGGGGAAGCUAGCCGCAAGAUUUAUUGGACCAUUUUGUGUGAAGGCACGAAGAGGCACGGUAGCCUACCAGCUAGACCUACCCAAGGAGCUGUCAGACGUCCAUGACGUAUUCCACGUCUCGUAGUUGAGGAAAUGUGUGAGUAACCCGGAGAAACAUGUACCUCAUGAGGACAUUGAUAUGCAACCAGAUCUCACCUACAGAGAAAGACCAGUAAAGAUUUUAGAAGAGUCUGAACGGAGGACCCGUCAGAAAACGACAAAACUUUUCAGGGUCCAGUGGAGCAACCACACUGAGGAUGAAGCCACAUGGGAAAGGGAAGAUUUCCUCCGAGCAGAGUAUCCAUAUCUAUUUGAGGAUCAGCAGAAAUCUCGAGGACGAGAUUUUUCCUAAGGGGGUAGGUGUUGUGACACCCAAGUUUCUAUUGAAUUUUUAAAAAAGAUUUUUAUUUGACUUGAAGGGAGUGAUUUAAAAAUUUUCUUCAAGAGAACUCUCAAUCUCAAAUAUUUUUCUUUAUGGCAAAAAUUUUAUUUGAAUUCACCCAAGAUCUGCCUUUGACCUGGGGAGUUCUUGCUCUUCAUUUGGGCUCAAGACAAAAUGUUUUUCAUUUGAGAGAAUAACUUUUGAAAACCUUUUCUUGAAUUUGCACUAUGGCUUUUGGAAAGUACUUUGCCACUUUCAACUAUUCCUUCUUGCCAUGGCAUAAGUGCAAAUCCUCUCUCCUAAACACUCCCUCACCUCUGGAUCAUGAUUUACAUCAAAUCCAGCAAGUUGAACCUCCCCAUGUAUUUAUUUUCCAUUCAAAUUCUAUUCAAAUAUUUUCUGCCUUCUAUUCUACCUCUUGGAGAUUUACAAAGGAACUCCAUUUUCUGUUUGGACUUUUACCACCAAACUUCUUUCCCCUCCUAGUCCUUUGAACCCUCAACCUAGAACCAUGAAGAUCCACUGGUCUCCAGUUCAAAAUUUUCAAACUACAUCAGCUGCAAGUUUGGACCAGAUUUGCCAAAUUUGGUGAAAUUCAUUCAAAACCUUCUCCAAAAAUUCCAAGUAAAUUCAGGCAGCCCCUGGGUGCUUUGAGUGAUCGUCUCACCAAGUUACAGCUCCAGAAAAAUUUAUCUCUUUACCAAAACCUACUGUCGAACACCUGCAAUGCUUGUUCACUGUCAAGAUUCAGUAAGUUCAGAGUUCAGUCAAGUGGCUGCUGUCGUUUUCUUCAGAAACGGGCGUCGAUCUCGCCAGUACCCUCGCGUCGCCUUGCUCCUCGUCCUCACCCUCUCGUUCCUGCACCGCACGAGUGCCUGGCAUCUUGCGGGCGUCGGCGACGAGCAGCAGAAGGUGCGCCGCCCCGUGACCGACGCCGGCGGCGGCUUUGCGGACGCCAGCGGGAGACACGGCGCCGCCGACUCCACCCAGCGCCGCCCAAACCACCGGAGCCCGCCGCGUGGCCGUCCACUCCCCCGAAUGCGCUGCCGCUCUCGUCGUGAACCCCAGGGCGCGGAGCGCGCUCUCUGCCGCCGUUGAGCCCGUGCGGUCACCUCAUCGUGGGCAGACGCCAUUACGCCAAGACCAACCCCGUUCAGCUGCAAAUCGAGUCCAGUAACAUCCACUGAUGCUGCUCGACCGCUCAAACCCCUGCCAACCCACUGCUCCGCCGUAAUCGCUCGCCGGAGAUUCUCCGUUCACGGCCACCCCGUCGAUCUGCCUAUAAAUAGGGGCCCCGAGCUUCAACUCGAGCACCCACCAGGCCUACACUUCCCCUAGAGCACGCCCAGCCACUGGAAGAGCCGCGAGGGGGUCUCCUUCCUCGACUCCGGCCGCCGUGAUCCGCCACGAGAUCCAGCCCGAUUCGCCCCCGUGUGUGCUCCACAGCCCCCAUUCUCUUGCCAGUAGCUUCUCCUUGCAUCACCCGUUCUGACCCGCGCCUCAAUUCGUACUUUGCAGCCCUCCACCGGAGUUCCCCAACCUCACCCGAACCGCCGUCCGCCGGAGAUAGUGUCGCCGUCGACGUGGUGCUCCCCGUUGGACGAGUCCACCACCCACCGACGCGGAAGAAGACACUGAAGCUCUUGGUACCCUCCGUUUCUCCUAACUCGCCGUGGUUCGACGCCGGCGUCCAUCGCCGUCUUCGGGCGCCGGCGAGCUUUCAAACCUGACAUGCGGGCCCCGCGUGUCAGCCUCUGUUUUAUUUCCCCGAACCGUUUUCUGUUGGCGCCUUCGGGCAAAAUACGUUUUCUCCUUGCGCUUGCGCAUUCCCAGCCGAAGCGUUUUCUGUUUUCUCAGUUAAAACCCUGGAACUUUUCUGUUUCAUUACAGAAAGGUCCCUGGACAGAAACCUUUAUAACUUUUUUAAUCAAAAGGCAUUUUUGAGUGAUUCUUUUUCUGUCAAUCUCCAAAUUUUGUCUAGUUUUUUAUGGGAUUUAUUUGAAAAAUAUUUGGCAAAGUUUCUGUGCAUGUGUUGGUUUUCACGUUAGUACCCCGUUUCGUGAUUGCCGUAGGUUCCGGGAGAGGGGACGGAGCCGCGAACUUCGCCGAGCUAGACUCCGACUUCUCCGAACCAGGCAAGCAUGUUUGAACAUUUGAUAUGGCAGAUGUUUUGCAUGUUCAUGUGAAAGUUUGUGUGUGGCAUAUGAGUGUCGGUAAAUAUCUCGUUGCUCGUAAGGCAACGACCCAGUUGUUCCGAAGUUGCGAUGACCUCUGAUGAGAGGUGGCCUAAUCAUGUGGUGACAUGAAGGGCAGCAAGGUGGUACUGUUGUAGCAUGCCAGCCUUGCGUCAUCCGACUUUCUUCGACGUUAACGUGGUUGGAGCCACGUUAUCGAUCUUUUCCCGCAUGUUCCAAAGUUGCGAUGACCUCUGAUGAGAGGUGGCCUAAUCAUGUGGUGACAUGAAGGGCAGCAAGGUGGUACUGUUGUAGCAUGCCAGCCUUGUGUCAUCCGACUUUUCCGACGUUAACAUGGUUGGAGCCGUGUUAUCGUCCCUUCCCCUUUCCGUGCUACCACAUGUCUCAUUGCCAGGAUACGGCUUAGUAAGUUGGUAACCUCUUUCCGUGUACACACCAAACAGAGAGGCCGGGAUGAUGGUACCUUGGCCCAGGAUUAAAGCCAGUCAUUCGGUCAGGGGGCAUGGGUGUUUCCGGUUGGGACCGAGAGGGGGGGCACCCCCUUAUAGCGCGCGUAUAGAAAUUUGAUCCCAUGCUACGCGAGGUUGUAGCCUCCCCGACUCAGGGUUUUUCCUGAAUGUUGCCGAGGGUGAUCCCUGGCUUCGGAUGGUUAAAUUGGGUGUGUACUGGUUAGACGUGUUCCUUCCAGAACACCGUAGACGGAACUAGUCCCCGUGACUACUGAAAUCCGUUGGCUGUGGUUAAGUACAAACUCUGCAGAGUCAAUUCUUUCCAUAUCAUCGUAUCCAUGAUCAGUAAUGUAGACUUUACAUCCAAAUCUAUCCGUGUGAAAAUCUUGCCCCCGGUGAACAAGCUCAAGCGGUAAAAUCUCAGAUUUAUUGUUAUUCCAGUUGAUGGACUAACUUUAUUUUGUGUCUCAUGCUUGUGAUAAUUUAUGUCUCCGAGCUAUUGUAUUAAUGAGUUCUGACAUAAGCCCUUUAUGUGACGUCGCGCAGACGUCCGACUGUGGCGUGUACUCGUUUCUCAUUUUCGAUAUAAGCCCUUUAUGUGAUGUCGCUCAGACGUCCGACUGCGGCAUGCACUGUCUUUACUUUCUGUUAUAAGCCCUUUAUGUGGUGUCGCCCCGACGCCCGACUGUGGCAUUAUUAUUCUGCAUUUUCCGCUCGAGGAGUCUUUCAGACACUCGUUUGGCACCUGUAUUUUUAUUCCGCAUUUUCCUCUCGAGGAGUCUUUCAGACACUCGUUUGGCACCUGUAUUAUUAUUCCGCAUUUUUCGCUCGAGGAGUCUUUCAGACACUCGUUUGGCACCCGCAUUACUAUUCUGCAGUUUCCGCUCGAGGCGUCAUUCAGACCCUCGCUUGGCACCCAGUAUUUAUUAUCUCUAUGUCUGAUCGCUCUGGUUAACUUAUUCAUGUGCUUCAUGUUUGCAUUUGUUAUACUUUAUGUUCGAACUGUCUUGCGAGUACUUUCAUAGUACUCACCUGGCUUGUUGAUUUGGCCAGAUGUUGACGAAGGCGAUCUCUUGGAUGAAGAGUUUGAUAGCGCGUCCGACGCCUAGAGGAGUCCCAGUCAGUCCUGCGCGAUCCCGGAUAUUGGUCACUUGUAUCGUUUACGCUUCCGCCACCCGCAAUAAGUCUUCUCGAGCCUCACUCCGACGCUCGAAGAGUCGUAGUAUUCCGGAAUCAUGUCACUCGCUUCGCGAUGAUAUUUCCACCACCGUUUUUAUCGUGAGUUAGUAGUUUGCCACCCUAUCCGCCGUAUUGUUUUAUCGGCGUGCAUGUAAUAAAUUGUUGGGCAGUCUCUGCUCAACCUUGUAUUAUAUUUAGUACUCCUGGUAUUUUUCUUCUGUGACCAAUAUAUUGUCUAUCAGUGAGAAGGAAUUCUUCCUCGCUGGUCCGUAACAGGGAUUGGUUUCUCAAUAAUUAUUUUAUUGAAAACCGGUCGUGACAUCCGCGCCCAACCAUCACGCCGGCGCCGGAGAUCCGGGUAGCGCUCCCCGUACCGAGCAACGGGAACCCAGGCGAACAAAAAACCCUAGCCGCAACGAUAGAUGACUCGGGCCUAGCCGGCUCAUGCAUGCACGUAGAAACAAUAGACGUGGCUUGGGCUUCCGACUGGGCCUCAUGCCUCAAGUCCGGAGAGCCCACGACCAACGCUAUUUCCGAUCCAUUAUCGAGGCCCAGCAACGAAUUUGUAACGCCCACGAUGCCGCUAUAUCUCCCACGUGUCGAGGCACGACUUAGAGGCAUAACCGCAUAGUGGUUUUGUCGCAAGAAAGGUCAUCUUCACACAAUCCCAUGUAAUGAACAAGAAUGGGAUAAAGAGUUGGCUUACAAUCGCCACUUCACACAAUACAUGAAUAUCAUCAUCCAUCAUCCAAAAUACAAUCAUAUAGACCCACUACGGUCAAAAUCCAGAUGAAAAUAAGACAACCCCAAAUGCUAGAUCCCCGAUCGUCCCAACUGGGCACCACUACUGAUCAUCAGGAAAAGACACAUAGUAACGACCACGUUCCUCGUCGAACUCCCACUUGAGAUCGACGCCAUCAUCUGCACUGGCAUCGUCGGCACCUGCAACUGGUGUUGGAAGUAUCUGUGAGUCACGGGGACUCAGCAAUCUCACACCCGCGAGAUCAAGACUAUUUCAGCUUAUAGGACAAAGAGGUGCNNNNNNNNNNNNNNNNNNNNNNNNNNNNNNNNNNNNNNNNNNNNNNNNNNNNNNNNNNNNNNNNNNNNNNNNNNNNNNNNNNNNNNNNNNNNNNNNNNNNAGGGGACACAAAAUAUAUCACCCAAACUAACAAUCCCUAGAUCCAGCUGUAUCCAUCCGUCAACACAUAACCAAGAAACCUUCGGAAAUCGUUUACCUCAACCUUCGAAAAACAUCCGUUAUACAAGUUAUGGCAAUACUCCCGAACUCCCGCCCCAGUACUGGGUGGCGUCGAGGUGAUCUCACCAACAACUGCAUAAAAGAGAUUUCGAUGUCGGCGAAACUCAGGUAUUCCAGAACUGCAACGAUAAAAUUGUGACGACAACACCUCGGAGCUCAACUCCCCGGGACACUGCCACAACCCCUAAAUGACAGGAGGCACCAAGAACAAUGUUCUCGUCACAAAUCGAUCGGAACGAUUCCAAGAUACCCGCGUGAUCCUAAAAAAAAAAUUUUAGUGAAAUUUGAGGAGAGAGUAGUCAAAACUUCUACGUCAGGAGACCUCACCAGAGCGACGAAGGGACUGAGGAGUAAAAGAAUCCUACUCUCCGAUAUAUAUAAUCCUAAGACUCAAAACAUUUUUAUUCUAGACUCAACAACGCCAGCGAUUCAAUCAAGCAGGGGGCUCCUAAGUCGGGGAUGGCUCUGAUUACCAACUUGUAACGCCCACGAUGCGGCUAUAUCUCCCACGUGUCGAGGCACGACUUAGAGGCAUAACCGCAUAGUGGUUUUGUCGCAAGAAAGGUCAUCUUCACACAAUCCCAUGUAAUGAACAAGAAUGGGAUAAAGAGUUGGCUUACAAUCGCCACUUCACACAAUACAUGAAUAUCAUCAUCCAUCAUCCAAAAUACAAUCAUAUAGACCCACUACGGUCAAAAUCCAGAUGAAAAUAAGACAACCCCAAAUGCUAGAUCCCCGAUCGUCCCAACUGGGCACCACUACUGAUCAUCAGGAAAAGACACAUAGUAACGACCACGUUCCUCGUCGAACUCCCACUUGAGAUCGACGCCAUCAUCUGCACUGGCAUCGUCGGCACCUGCAACUGGUGUUGGAAGUAUCUGUGAGUCACGGGGACUCAGCAAUCUCACACCCGCGAGAUCAAGACUAUUUCAGCUUAUAGGACAAAGAGGUGCAAAGAGGUGGAGCUGCAGCGGCAAAAGCAUAUAUGGUGGCUAACUUGCGCAAAUGAGAGCGAGAAGAGAAGCAAUGGAACGAGCGUCAUCUAGCAAUGACCAAGAAGAGGUCCUGAACACCUACUUACGUCAUACAUAACACAGACCGUGUUCACUUCCCGGACUCCGCCGAGAAGAGACCAUCACGGCUACACACGCACUUGGUGUAUUUUAAUUGGGUCAAGUGACAAGUUGUCUAAAACCGGACAUUAACAAAUUCCCAUCUGCCUCAUAACCGCGGGCACGGCUUUCGAAAGAUAUUACCCUGCAGGGGUGUCCCAACUUAGCCCAUCAUAAGCUCUCACGGACAACGAAGGAUAAACCUUCUCCCGGAAAAACCCGAUCAGUCUCGGAAUCCCGGUUUACAAGACAUCUCGACAAUGGUAAAACAAGACCAGCAAAGCCACCCGAAUGUGCCGACAAAUCCCGAUAGGAGCUGCACAUGUCUCGUUCUCAGGGCACACCGGAUGAGACAUCCUACGAGUAAAACCAGACCUCGAGUUUCCAGGAGGUGGCCCCGCAGUCUGCUCAGUUUGGACCAACACUCGAAGGAGCACUGGCCCGGGGGGGUUAAAAUAAGAUGACCCUCGGGCUCGCGAAAACCCGGGGGAAAAGGCUUAGGUAGCAACUAGUAAAACCAAGGUUGGGCCAUGCUGGAGGAGUUUUAUUCAAGGCGAACUGUCAAGGGGGUCCCAUAAAUCACCCGACCGUGUAAGGAACGCAAACUCAAGGAACAUAAUCCCGGUAUAACAGUAACUAGGGCGGCAAGAGUGGAACAAAACACCAGGCAUAAGGCCGAGCCUUCCACCCUUUACCAAAAUAUAUAGAUGCAUUAAUUAAAUAAGAGAUAUUGUGAUAUCCCAACAUAUCCAUGUUCCGACAUGGAACAAACUUCAACUUCACCUGCAACUAACAACGCUAUAAGAGGGGCUGAGCAAAAGCGGUAACAUAGCCAAACAACGGUUUGCUAGGAAAGGAUGGUUAGGGGCUGACAUGGCUGAAAUAGGAGACAUGAUAUAGCAAGAGAUAGGUAGCGAGCAUGGCAAUAGAGCGAAACAACUAGCAUAGCAAAGAUAGAAGUGAUUUCGAGGGGUGGUCAUCUUGCCUGCAAGAUUCUCAGAGUUGUCGAAAGCUUGAUCCUCGUAAGUGUACUCGACAGGUUCCUCGUUCACGAACUCGUCUCCCGGCUCUACCCAAGACAAGAAUACAAACAAAUGGAACCACAAUCAACAACGAGGAAUGCGCAAGCAACAUGAUGCAAGACAUGUAUGAUAUGCAGGUUAUGAUAUGUGAUGCAUAUGCGUGCUCCGGAAGGAAAAUGAUGAACAUGGCAGUAAAUUUGCAAACCAAGCAUGCCACUGGAAAGAUGAGAUGAUUUCGUUCGAAAUCGAUAUAAAGAUCACCGGAAUCGGAUGCACGGUUUGCAAAUGGCAAGCAAAACAAGAAUGACACUAAUCUGCGAUAAACAGCAAGAUAGCACUUAAAAUACAACAAGUAACAAUACUACAGCAUCCCAACAUAGCAACAAAGCACAUGGAAGUAAUCUACAGGAGAUGCUUGACAAAAGAUGAACACUGAGCUACUGCUAGUUCACAACAUAUCCAGCUCAAACAAGCAUGGCAAAAGUGCAAAAGAUUACAGGUUCACAGACUUAGUGAAAAACUGGACAUGGCAGAAAUCAGCAUCAGGUAGCAAUGUUCAGAGCACGAAAUCAAUAUGCUACAGAAACUUAACAUAGCAAAACAAGGCAUGGUAGUGUUCUACUAAAUGCACAUGACAAAAGUCCCUUACUGACCAUAAGCCAACAAGGACAAGAGGAUAUGAUGGCAAGCAUGUAAACAUAGCAAGUUUCGUUAUCAGGUUCCAGACUUAGCAGAAAACAGAGCAUGGCAGAAAUAUUAAUAUGUAGGCCUCUUUGUGAGCUUGAUGCACUCACUACAGAGCAAUGCAUGAAAAAACAAGCAUACCUACAGCAAGAUGGCAUGUUCAAGAAGCUAUCCAUGGCAAGAACAAUUACAUAGCAUGUGUGGAUCAACUACAAUAAGCUUGGCAAAAAUGCAUGUCAUGUUAAGAAUCUGCCAGAAAUAUUUUAUAGCAAAAGUAGAGCAAGAUCGAGUUAUGCUAUAGUACUCUAAAAUUGCAAACAAUUGCAGGAAUGGAUCAAUUACAACUAUAGCUACAAAACAUCCUUACUGAACAUCUCCAAAAUAUGCAUGGAUCUCUCUGUAGCAUCAAGUUUACAUGGCAACAAAAUUACAGCAGACAAAGACUUAGAGAAAUCACUAAGUCCCUGAAAUCAGAAAUAUUACGGGGCCUACUUUGCAUGCUUGUGCUAGUCACCACAAAGAUCACAAAAAUACACGGACUAUACCACUGUAAAGAUGGCAUGGCAUACUUCAAAACACAUGUAGAGCUCAUGCUCAAAAGAUGCACAGAUUAAAUAAUACAAAAAAUGACAAAUCUCCAAGUUCUGAUAAGAACCAGAGAUUAACAGCAACUAGCCCUUUUCCAACGAAUAUUUGGGCAUCAAGAUGACCUCUAAUGAAAAUGGUGCAAUUGAACAAAAUGAAGAGCAUCACGAGACGAACAAUUUGACAUAUUAUACGCGCGAAUCGGAGCUACAUGCACAAAGUUAUCGCAUCUCGAACAGGAGCAUAUACUGAAAUGUUUCAGGGACUUAGAAAAAAAAAGGGGGGGGGGUCUCNNNNNNNNNNNNNNNNNNNNNNNNNNNNNNNNNNNNNNNNNNNNNNNNNNNNNNNNNNNNNNNNNNNNNNNNNNNNNNNNNNNNNNNNNNNNNNNNNNNNNNNNNNNNNNNNNNNNNNNNNNNNNNNNNNNNNNNNNNNNNNNNNNNNNNNNNNNNNNNNNNNNNNNNNNNNNNNNNNNNNNNNNNNNNNNNNNNNNNNNNNNNNNNNNNNNNNNNNNNNNNNNNNNNNNNNNNNNNNNNNNNNNNNNNNNNNNNNNNNNNNNNNNNNNNNNNNNNNNNNNNNNNNNNNNNNNNNNNNNNNNNNNNNNNNNNNNNNNNNNNNNNNNNNNNNNNNNNNNNNNNNNNNNNNNNNNNNNNNNNNNNNNNNNNNNNNNNNNNNNNNNNNNNNNNNNNNNNNNNNNNNNNNNNNNNNNNNNNNNNNNNNNNNNNNNNNNNNNNNNNNNNNNNNNNNNNNNNNNNNNNNNNNNNNNNNNNNNNNNNNNNNNNNNNNNNNNNNNNNNNNNNNNNNNNNNNNNNNNNNNNNNNNNNNNNNNNNNNNNNNNNNNNNNNNNNNNNNNNNNNNNNNNNNNNNNNNNNNNNNNNNNNNNNNNNNNNNNNNNNNNNNNNNNNNNNNNNNNNNNNNNNNNNNNNNNNNNNNNNNNNNNNNNNNNNNNNNNNNNNNNNNNNNNNNNNNNNNNNNNNNNNNNNNNNNNNNNNNNNNNNNNNNNNNNNNNNNNNNNNNNNNNNNNNNNNNNNNNNNNNNNNNNNNNNNNNNNNNNNNNNNNNNNNNNNNNNNNNNNNNNNNNNNNNNNNNNNNNNNNNNNNNNNNNNNNNNNNNNNNNNNNNNNNNNNNNNNNNNNNNNNNNNNNNNNNNNNNNNNNNNNNNNNNNNNNNNNNNNNNNNNNNNNNNNNNNNNNNNNNNNNNNNNNNNNNNNNNNNNNNNNNNNNNNNNNNNNNNNNNNNNNNNNNNNNNNNNNNNNNNNNNNNNNNNNNNNNNNNNNNNNNNNNNNNNNNNNNNNNNNNNNNNNNNNNNNNNNNNNNNNNNNNNNNNNNNNNNNNNNNNNNNNNNNNNNNNNNNNNNNNNNNNNNNNNNNNNNNNNNNNNNNNNNNNNNNNNNNNNNNNNNNNNNNNNNNNNNNNNNNNNNNNNNNNNNNNNNNNNNNNNNNNNNNNNNNNNNNNNNNNNNNNNNNNNNNNNNNNNNNNNNNNNNNNNNNNNNNNNNNNNNNNNNNNNNNNNNNNNNNNNNNNNNNNNNNNNNNNNNNNNNNNNNNNNNNNNNNNNNNNNNNNNNNNNNNUUUGGGCUGGUUUUGGAGGGGGGUUUUGCUGGACACUCAAAUGGACUUUGCGGAUGCCCGGUUAACCGUUGGAGUACCAAACGACCUCCGAAUGGAACGAAACUUGACCGGUAGACUCCGGGUGGUAUAUUAAGACCACUUGACAAGCCUCGGUCCAUUCCGAGAAAGUUUGACACAUGCACACGAAAGAAAACAAGAGGGGUGCACCGGAGGAGAUAGGAGCGCCGGAUUGGAAAACGGACAACGGGGAAAAUGCUCGGAUGCACAAGACGAACACGUAUGCGAAUGCAAUGCACAUGAUGACAUGAUAUGAAAAUGCAUGACAUGACAAAAUACAAAACGAAAGACAAAACCCAACAACGGAGGGAAAACAUAUCACAUAGCCGGAAAUGGCAAGAGUCGGAGUUACAAUUAUGGCAAGUUACAUGCGGGGUGUUACAAGUGUGCCCUUCUGGCCGCUCGAAUCGCGCUAGCCGUCGUUGCCACCGGCGACCGCUACGGCGCCGGCCUCGAUGACUGCCCUUUCUUUCCUUUCUUCUUUCUAGUUACUAAAGUCCAUGUCUCUGGAAUAAAAUCUGACAGUGUAACGGGAGCGCGAGAUACCUUAGGAAUCGGCCUGAUCCAUGGUUUGAUGAUCUUCUUCGAGCUUUGAGCUUUGGACCGACGACGUUCAAUUGUAUGUUUAAACUCUGGCAGACUCUCCGGUCCCGCAUUCGAAACCAUGAGAGAGUCCGUCGGGGCAUGCUCGAUCUGGACCUCUUCUUCUUCAUCACUCUCGAUGAGAACCCAGAAACGUCCUCCCGGUUUGUCCAUUCUUGUUGUGUCUGUCAAAUCAACAAGAUCCGCCGCCGGGAUCUGAUCAACCUGCACAGAAUGACCAACAACUACAUCAUAGUUAUCAAUCAAGAACCGAAACCCUACCUCGAUCCGGUCGUCGUCAGGGAGAUAGUCGCCGGUUAACACGUCGUUCUCCAUAUCCAACAGAGCCAUCCAUCGCGACGAUGGAGUGAAACGAAGACGACCCAUGAUCCAAGUGUCGGGAUCCGUCUCGUCGAAGAAUUGGACCUGCCACUGCCGCGAUCUAGGCCUCUCCCCCUUGAUCUCACCAUCUGCAUUGACGCCGUGAUCUGCUCCUGCCGCAUGUGUAUUUGGGGAAGCACGCGCCGUCGGCGGCAAGGGAGAGAUCACCGCCCGCGAAUGGAGAUCAACCGCGUUGGGCGUCCGCGAUGGGGCGCCGGCCUCGUCGGGCGGCCGCGUUCCGUCGGGCGACCUCGUCAUUUACCUUGGAUCAAACUAGAUGAUGACAUACUAACUGGACAAAUCAAUGAAAUCAAUCCACCAAAUCUUCUGAUGUUGGACAUUGUUAAUACCUUAGACAUUAACUUGGUCUCCUCCGUGAUACACUACAAAACAACAAUCGUUUUCAAUUGGUGCAAAAAGAAGUAACUAAAACCACGUCGGUUAUUUCCGAACGGAGGGAGUAGUGAACAGCACGUGAUUACUCAUACUAUAAAUUGAAUAGGCAGUGGCACAGUUUGACAAGAUAUGUAUUUUUGCAGACUGUACCAUAAAGCAUGCAGCUGGAAGAAUGGAACCAGCUGGAGCAAUGGGUUGAGAAACUAGCUCAGUGAAAUUGAGUGCUUCGUCCGUGAUCCUCUGGCUCAGGCCAAGAUGGUCAUGAGGUAUUGUUUUCAGUCCACCAUGGACUGCAACGAUAUCAUUCAAGGCUGUUCAUACACUCGGUGGCUGCUGCAGCGUUGAGACGUGCUUCUCUAUCGCCGAUAUCCACGUUUAGAUAACGAAAAGGAUCAUUUUUAUUCAUGUCAUAAUGCUGCCUAAGAUAGCCAAAAUAGUCUUCUUCUUUUUUUCGCGGGAAAGCCAAAAUAGUCUUCGAAAAGAACACAAUCCCAUUAGUGCAGUUUGCUGGCUCGUUGUAGGUUCGCCCUGGUCCGGUUUUAUUCGGGUUUUUUGGUUUCUUUUAUUUAUUUUUUCCUUUUUUUCUUCAUUUUACUUUGAUUUUCUUUGUUUUCUCAUUGGAUUUGUCUUUUUUCUUUUUUUUUCUUAGUUGAACUUUCGUUUUCCUUGUUUGCUUCUUGGUUUUCUUCAGGGUUUUUUUCUUUUCUUUUGUUUCUUUAUCAGUUCUUUUUUUGCCAACACAUAUCUACUUUAUUCUUAGUAUACAAUGUACAUUUUUAGAGCACACGUGAAACAUUUUUCUGAUACAUGCCAGACAUUUUUCAAACACAUCAUGUAUAUUUUUUUAAAUGCAUGUUUUGAACACUUUUUGAAUACAUGGUAACAUUUUCCAAAUACAAGUUGUACAUUUUUCUACUGGCAAUAAAUAUUUUUAUUAAACUAAGAUAACAUUUUAUUACAUUUUUAGUUGAAAUAAAAAAAUUUAAACACGUAAAUAUUUUCUGAGCCUCUUGGAUGUUUAAGGAAAUAGAAGAUCCAUCAGUCUGUCCAAAUAAGGUUUUUAUAAAAAUCAGUGAUGUAUUUGAGAAAAUUCUAUUCUCCCUCAACAAUCCCUUCUUUUUGCUCUAAGGAGACAAUUUUUUAGUCAACUUUACUGAAACAUCAAACUCCAAGGAGACAACACCACAGAGCAGAAGGCGGAGAACAUCUGCAUUCAGUAGCGCAUUUUUUUAGUAGUGGAGACCAGCGCAUAAAUACAGCUGUUACAAUGUACAGGCCAAAUUCUACAGAAACAAUAAUCUAUUCUGCAUAAUCACUAACUGAACUAAUAUAUGUACACAAAGCUGAAAUGGCUACAAAAUUUCCUGGCCCUCCUUUGAGGCGCUCCAACCAAAUUCACUCCUGGCUCCUGGCAGAUCAUUGGGUAGAAGCAGCAAUAGCUAAUGAGGAAACUGCCCCAGUGUUUGUUCAGAAUCAGCUGCAAUCAUUUCUGGAUCACGUUCGGUACAACGGUAUUGUGAUUGGCAUAUCUUAUUACCACUGACUCCUGAGAUCAUCUCUUCUCAUUGUACAGACCAUCAUUCAGAACCAAAGGGAGAAGACCUUGAAAUCAG